rnacentral:lncRNA from 1 species
AAUUAUCACCUAAUUGCCAUCAACAUCAUCUUCGGUUAGCUUAGUCGGUAGAGCGUACGACUGUUAACCAUAAGGUCGACGGUUUGAAAUAAUCAUCGAGCAGAUACGAUGAGGGGUCAUAGCUCAGAUGGUUAGAGCUACGCUGCCUGCGCGCCUGCUUAGCGGUUGAGCACCGUCAAUGACUCGCAGUAAACUGAGAGCCGCAGCAACAGCACUAACACUAGCAGCAGCAGCAGCAGCAGUAACAGUAACACUAGCAGUGGGGACAUACAGCAGCGCCAAUUAAACAAUUAUAUACCCGAGGGGUGUUGUGUGUUGACUCAUCCUCCGACACAUCCAGGACUACCACCUGAGUUGUUGUUGUUGCUGCUGCUGCUGCUACUGUUGUUGACGAGGGGUUGAUUAAAUUGUGUGGGCAAAGCUCUCGCCCUGAGGAAGGAGGACGAGCACCGUCGGGGGCCCGGACCGGACCGGGGGCCGAAACGCAGCAGCAGUGCAGGGGCGGCCGCGCUGCUCCACAUCCUUCUGCUCGUCCGCACGCGCCUCCCACCCACCCUCCCUCCCUCCCUCCCUCAAUCAAUCAAUCCAGCCAGCCAGCCGGGGCGAUCUCCCAGCCCCUGGGUCGCCCCAUAGCGCUGCCGCCCAGCACCUGUUGUUGCUGUUGUUGCUGCUGCUGAUGGGUAAUGCAAUGACGACCUGAGAGGUUGCAACCCCAAAUGAACCAAUCCGUAAAUGAAAGCACCAGGCGAAUACUUAAGGAGAUGGGGGUAUACUGAGUAUAAGUAUAUAAGUUGAACCCCCCAAUACGCGGGUCUCGGACAUGUCGGGGUCAUCUAUGCAGCACUUCUCUCUUAAGCAGGAGGGGUCUCCAGAUCUGGCACCACUUGGGGGCUGUGGGCUCUACAACCAGAGGUGGCCGAGGUUUAUGAAAAGUAAAAAACUCCAUUACCACGGGGUUGUUAUUAUGUGUGUCAUCUCGUCCUCCUCUGUUGUUUGGUCCAUUAACAUGUACCACACAUCGUAGUACUCCGGUAACACGGUGCACUUGCAUGCCGGUAUGUAUACCCCCCUCCCCUUCAUUUGAGCAAAACGAAAACCACCCACUCGCCUAUGCGGGCUUGGGUCCCGGGGCUUUCCCCUUCCCCCCCAGCAGCAAACUGUGCCAAAGCCCGCACCUGGUUCUCACCGUAACUAACGCCCCUUGUAUCCCUACUGUAGCUACACUAGCUGUACAGAUGCUAUAUUAGUCCCCUAGUGCUCCCCUGCGGACUGCACGGACUGCAUGCACCACAGCCUGCCAUCCACGACCGAGAUGACCGGGUGGUGGUGGUGGUGGUGGUCAGCUCCCACCUCAUCCCACCCGUGCUGGCGCGGCACUCCGGGCUCUGUGAAGCCUGUCACCUGCAGCCAGAACUCUAGGACCACGUGCCCCUUGGCGACUUCAACCCUGGGCUUGGGUCGUCCGGGUCCCCCACGUUAGCCCCUGGCCCCUGUUAGCCUGGUUGCGGCCCCCGACCCCACCCGUGCACUCUCCGUCUCUGUCAGGGCCGCCGGCGCCACGAUGUCCCCCCCCCCACACACACAUGGUGGGGUCCCCGGUGGCGGCUCAGCAAGACACACAUUGCCCUGGCAAUCAGUUGGCCCUAGUGAUCGGCAUGGCCAACUGGUUCUCGAUCUGCUGUAUCAACACUUUGGCAGCCGGGCAGUUCUAGAAGUGGUGGGCGCGCGGUGUGCAUUGCUGGGGCCCCAUCCAGAUAGCUCAGGGUGUGUGUUAUGGAGGGAGGGGGUUGCUGCCAGGCAGAGGGAGCCCCUCCACCACCAGACCCUAUAGGGUCUCCUUGUGCUCGUGCUCCAAAUGAUGUGGCAGAGCCGACGCAGCAUAUCCCGCACACAUCACGUGGGGGCUGCUGUGUCUGCCGAUGCUGCAGCUACUCCCUGGCGGCUAACGUGCCUAAUGUUCAUAGGCGGCAUGCAGUCACGCCCGGUGCACCUCUAUCCCCUGUGCAGCUGUAGCUGAGUGGCGAGUCUGACUGUCAGGUCCUGAGUUUGACGGUCAGCCCAGCAAGCAACCGAAGCGCCACCUUACAGUGUAUCCAGCCUAGCCUCCCGCUCCGGGUGAUCCAGGACGUUCGGUCCGUGUGUGUGCAUGUCUGUGUGUGUUGUGUGCUUGGUCAGGCUGGUGGUGGGGAAGAGUCUUGCUUCGUGUCUCAGGCUCAGAGCGUGGACUCCCUUGACUCGUGAGAGCGUGUGGCGCCUCGUCCUCCCUCCCGGGGAGGAGAGCGGAGCUAGCGGACCUGUGGCUCUCGGCUGCUUAGGAGGGGGAGGGGACAGAGGCCCCGUCCGCGGGAGAGCACUAAGGCGGUACUUCUGUUGGGGCCGGGUAGCAGCUGUUGGCCAGUUUCAUGCCCGGUCACAUACUUGUAACCUUCAGAUACACACACACACACACAUACAGACACACGCGACGCACACACACUCAGAAUGUUGGGGGGAGUUGCGGCCUGGCUCGGUGUGCUGCUGGGUGGUGGAUGCACGGCAAGAAAUUUUGGGAAUGGAAGUGUGAAGGAGGAGCAUACAUUUGCUGCCUUGCAUGCUAACCUGCGACUAAGAGCGUGGGUGGGAGGUAGCCCCAAUGCUAUCGGGGUCGCAGUAGGUAGUAGUGGUAGUAGGUGGUGCCGGCAGGAGCAGCCGACGAAAGGCCACUGCCACCAUGUAAUCAAUCGGACUCAGCCUUCAUUGUACAGUAUCCCCGGGCGGCAUCAAGAUAAGCUCCGGCACUUAGUUGCCUGCUGAACAACCCCCCAGCGGGCAGACCACGCGUAGUUGUGUUGGCCAGACGCGGCCAGUGCCGGAGGUCACAAAGUCGGCGACUGCUUUGUCGGUAAAUGCUGCGUGUCCGAGGGCAGAGGUGUGGUGGUUGUGGAAAUAUGGCAGUGGGGGUGACCCUUCUCCCACCGCAGAUGAAAACCUGUAAGCACCCAGGAGCAAGAGGACGAGUGCGUUGGCUACCCACACCUUCGAGCUGAGUCGCGUCUGAGCUCGCCGUGCAUCUGAGCUGGUGCUGGUGUGUGAGGCUUGGUUGGGGAGGCAGGUGUUGGAUGCUCGCCGCUGUGGGCGUGCAGCUGCAUAUUCACCUUUGCCCUUCCCCCGAACCCGGGCUUGGCCCCAGGCCCCGAAAGGCCCCAGGCCCACCUUUUCCAACUGGGACAGGCCGUGCUGGCUAUUUCCUGAGCAGGACCGUGUGCAUGUGCCAUAUUGGUUUGUGUUGGUGCGACUGCCGGUCGCCUUGAGGCACCUCUUCCUGUACUGCUGGCAUGUCCGGAAUGAAAAAGAUUUUGCAUGUCGAUAAUAUGAAAGGAAGCCAUCAAAGGCGCACGCGGGUGGGAAAAAACAAAAAAAACGAGGCUUGAACCGCACGCGGGCGUGGAGAGGUCCACCGAUGCACAUGUGAGCGAGGAACAAGCCACUGAUCGCACGCGGGCGAAGCUUGCCACAAAGGGGACUUGAAGGGAUGGGAGCAGCAAGCGGGCCUAGGGCAGCUCCAUCAGCGGCGCCGCUUUUCGUCGCGUGCCCGUCAAGUCCCCUUAAUGGCAUAGCAGCUAUACAAGCUAUAGUUCUGCUGAGUGAAAGGCAAAAUGCCUGAAACGAAGAGCGGAAGCGCAAUUUGCCACCGCCACUUGAUACCGGUUGAACGAUAGUCGCACAGAAACAGACUUGGAGGCUCGGAUCGCUUCGCUCCGUCGCGUCAAAGUCAGCGUAGAGCAACGAAGCGGUAUCCUUCUCAGCCGUUGUCCACCGUCCGUAAUAACAUAAGGUGUAAGGCACCUUAAAACGUGAGCAAGUAGUGCUUAGGGAUCCACUGUCAAUCGGACAUCUUCGGGGAUGCGCUGCAACCGCUUCAGUUCCUUGAAGGCCGGCAAAGUAAAUGAUGUAUGGUGACGGCAGCUCGCGACAGCAUUCGCGAUUGCCGCAGCGGUGAUCCUGCCUGCCAGGGCUUACUUGAAAUGAAGGCGGCCCCAUCUACCCCUGCGGCCGUUGAAGAUGCUGACCCGGCCAAUCAAAUCCAUGAUGUUUCGGUCCGUUCGGUAGGAAAGAACGCCGCCUAAAUGGCAUGGCUUGUUGGCCGUGUCUACCGUUCAGGAGACGACCGGAACGGCUGCACAAUGCAGACGCAGGACCCCGAUAGCAUCGCCGAGCGUGAAGGGUGUAGUCUAGCUAAAUAUAUUUGCGAGCAAGAAACCCACUUCCUCAGGAGGGAUGCAACGGGGUUGAUUUGUUCCACUUUCAGCUUUCAGAAGUCGAGUAGGUGUUGCGCCGAAGAGUAAGUACAAAUGGAUUCGUAAGCACAACUUUCCUGCUCUAUAAGCAAGGGCGCAUUGGAAUCAGGUCCUAGGCGACGCCGAUCACGCAAUGGCUGUCGUGUCUGUCGGACAAUGUCAACUCAUUCCGGAUCCUUGAGGCCGCCACCUCAAAACUGGCUCGCAAGUACACAGGCAACGCAAACAUUGUUUUUGUUUACAGCAGAUAUGCUCAGAGAAAUUACAUUGCGUGUCUUAAUUGCUUUAUAGCCCAAUAUGUCCGCCGCUCUUUGUGCCGGCUUCCUGCUUGCCGCAGUGGCCUUUUGGUUCUAUAGACGUUCUGAACGUCAGGCAGAGGAAUCGAGGAGGUUGCAAUCGGAACUUAAGGCAGCCCUCAGAGAGCGAGAUGCUGAACAGCACUUUAAUUACAACGUCACCCAGCCAAAGUUGGUGAGUUACGAAGGUUCUGCUUCGAUGCUAUCUUCAAUGAAGGAUUUCAGCAAUGCAAGUACACUAUUUUUCAUUGGAUCAUUUUCCCGCGUUAUUCCUGUACCCAGUGUCCCCUUCGUUAGUAACUUCUCCUUUUCUUUUGCAGGAGGAGCAACGGAGACAUAUUGAAAAGAUCGAGCGAAUAAACGAAAGAUUGAACGAAGUGCUGACUCACAGGGACAAGAGGAUCGAAGAGCUCGAGUGGGUAUAGGGUUUAAACGAGGUUGGCGUCCUAUUUCCGAGGGAUGAUACUAACCGCAUUUUUCUGUUCCUCAGAAACGAGAACAAAAAACUUGAUGGCCUGCUGAGGGAGAAAAAACAAAAUUUCCGUCGUUAUAUGCUCGCCGAGCAAAACCGACAGCCGGCGCCUGUCAGCCUAUUGACACCAACGUCCGCCACCCGUGGCUUGACGGGUAUACUGGGUUUGGCAUCGACACCAAAUGCAGCCUCUCCUGGCUACCGCUUGCCGGCUGGUUCGGCUGCGAAAGUGCUACGUACCCCUGUCUUCACGUUUGGCUCUCUCUCCAGUCCCUCCACCCAAGGUGGGUCAGCUGCCAUAAGGAAGCGUCGCUUGUCUCUGCAAGUACGCAUGUGGGUCAUACACACACAGCACGGCGCUGUCCUUACUUUGCUCACCCGUCCGCCGUUCCCCCGGUUGCCUCCCGCUUGUGUCCUUCAGGUGCACAGGUCGAGGAUGAUGAGGCUUCCUUCAGCCGCGCCGGCCCGCAGGUGCGCACCCCUGCACCCCUAUCGUUGUGAACUCUUUUGCUCGCUCGGUUACCCUGUAUUCUUGUAUAUGCCCACUGCUGCGCUGUGCAACCGCCUUGACAUACGGAGGGCCUUUUGGGUUUUUGCAACCACCAUCAAAAUCUAGUGGUGAUGUUGCAGUGAUUACUGGAUGGGUCCUGACCGCCGGUGGUGCAGGUCGGCUUUCCUGGCAGCUAUCCGAAGUCCUUGGUGCCUAACGGUGGAUAUGCUGUCAGUUGCGCACCUGACUUUUCUCCCUCACAUCGCUUAAUGCCCUCUUAAUGAUAUGAGAUAGUUUAUACUUGGCUGAGGUUGAGAUUAUCUUUUGCUCUUCCAGGGCGGACAUGGAGGUCAGAGCAGCGAACUGCUGCAGCAGGCUCGUCCAGAUGUCACACAGCUGGAGGCAGAGGCCGUAGGCCUUCGCGAGGAACUACAGCAGGCGCUGCAGGCUGCGGCAGGCCAUGAGGCGGAGGUGUACAACAUUCGCGAAGAAUUGCAGCAGGCGCGGCAGGCAGCGGCAGGGAUAGAAACUGAGCUCAGACAGGCGCAGCAAGCUGUUAUGGGGCUCGAGGCCGAGAGGACGAAUUUCCGUGGAAAGCUCAGGCACGCGCAGCAGGCCGUGGCGGGCUACGAAGCCGAGACGAAGAACCUUCGUGAAGAGUUGCAGCACGCGCAGGACACCGUGGCACAGCUCGAGGCGGAUGCAAAAAGCCUUCGCGAAGAGUUGCAGCAGGCGCGGCGCAAUACGUCGCAGCUUGAGGCGGAGGUGUUGGACUUGCAGCAGCAGCUGGAGGCGGCGGUGCAGCAGGCAAAGUCUGCGACAUGGGCUGCCGAGCAGGUUGCUGAGGUGGUGGAAACCGCUGCAGCCGCUAUUCAGGAAGCUGAAGGGGCAAAGGAAGACCUGGUUGACCACAAGAUGAGCCUGGAGCUGCAGGAGCUUCACGAGCAGUGCGUCCAACUGAAGGUACUGUACCGAGGUGCAGCUACAGAUGUCGUCAGUCUGGCUUUGGGUGGUCCCUUCUCUUCCACAUGUGCUCAUCUGUUUGCACAAGCCGCAAGGUGGCAAAUCAUAGGUGGUCGUAGGUACUUUUUCCCCCCGAGCGACGCGAGCUGUUUUGUCCACGGUGUGGUGUCCGUGCGUGUACGCAUCCGUGCGGCAGCGUGCGUGUCGCCUUUGUGGCCACCAGUCGAAUUUGUAGCAUAGGUGGUAACAUGCCCCAGGUCUCCAGGAUGGUUGGCGUCUAGAGGUUCUUCUUUAAUCCCAAUUGUUGAUACGGAGCCUAUGGGUCAUUAUUCAGUCACGAAAACGUAGCUACUCUGUCUGUAUUGCGAAUACCAAUCCACGUUACAUUCUUGAUUGUUGCACUUUUGGCAAUGAUAUACCAGGCAAAGGUGGAGGAGCUUUCCACACGGAACAAGAGUCUUCAGCAGGAUGCAAAAGCAGCCCGAGUAAGUGAUAAUAGAAGUUACAAGUGGUGAGGAGCAAGUAACAAGAAUUGUUCUUUGUAAUUUAUAUUAUUUGUCAUAAAGCAAUAUUUUUCCAAAUUUUGUUUCUCGCUCAUAAAAAUUAUACAGUGGAAGUUGACAUGUUUGACAGUUUUGUAAGCAUUGAAUAAGAAGAAUAGAAUUAAAACUGUAAAUAAAACUUUGUUGCAGGCAUUUUGUAUAUUUUAAAGGUUAUGAUGAAGAAAUCACUGUAUUGAUAAAAUUGAUUGGUAGUAGAAUAAAAGUAUAAUAAGUAUAAUAAAAAAAGCUGGGAUAUUUCCAGAUAUUUAUUCGAUUAUAUUUUGUGCGCUAAAGCAGCUUGGGAAGACACACUCUCUAUAAAGUAUAUAUUUUGGGGUUAGGAAACUUAUAAUUGACUCCUUGCUGAAUAGUUUGUGUACUUAAUAUUCAAGUCUGCAAUAAUUAAAAAUCUUGGGGCUGCAUGAAUGGCGAACAGUUCGUGGCACCAACCUCUUUUCCACUGGAUGUAGUUCUUAGUGUCUCUGUGCAAGAUAUGCCAUUAUCUCACGUUGUUCGUUAUCGUUAUGUCGCCAUACUGUCAUCAUGCUCCGGAUCUCACCGCAACACCGGGGUUUUGCUCCGCAUUGAGCAUGUGAGCCUGUACUGCCCGUAUUAGGAGGCUUCAAAGUGCCGUCGUAGUCCGCCUCGAGUGCUCCGGUGCCCCGGGAGGACCCACCCCAUCCAGAAACACAUGACAAGUUGGUCGUGAGCCCUAGGGCUGGUAAGACCUAGAAGAGUCCUUACGCUGCGCGUUCGUUGCCUGCCGCGUUUCUCGCUGGAACGGUUUGUCAACAACAGGCGGAGGCGGAGGACCUGUCGCAGCGGAACAGGAGUCUUCAGUGCCAUGUGGAGGAGGUCCUGGUAGGUGCAGGGGGGGUUCCGGGGGGUUGCUCUUCCAGCGCGCGGGUUACGGCUGGUCUGUCAGGCGUUGGAGCGUCCCGCCGCUGGGGAGAGGAGGCUUUUGCGUGCGCUGCGUGUGCUGCAUCUCUUGGUUCUCGCACAUCACCCGUGUUCCAUGACCCGUUAUACACCGUUAUACCGCCUCGCGAAAUAACUCCUCGGGGGGCUCUCGCCUCAGACCUGUAAAGGCUCGUGUAAAGGCGACGCUGGAAUUUUCAAGUAAUGAAAUCCUUUGAUCUUUGAUUAAGACCGCAAGCGCAUACGUUCCCGACGUCUGCUUAUAUAUAUAUAUAUAUAUAUAUGACUUGGCCGUUCAUUCGAUUCGUUUUGUUAGCUUUCAGCCGCGCUAUUGAUGUCACCUGGGUUUCCUCCACCUGUCCAUUUUGGCACUGUCAGGCGGAGGCAGAGGACAUGUCCCAGCGGAAUAAAAAUCUGCAAAAGGAUGCGGAGAAGGCCCAGGCGAGUAUUGUCCGCAUGCUUUAUGAAGGUGUCCGUGUGGAGAUUUAUUUUUUGGCGGCGUCUGUGUUCCAUUGAAGAUUGUCCCUGGUAUCGCCUUAAAUGCAAGUGACACUGAUGGGUUCUCAGUCGAACUAAGGGUUUCUCUACCGGUGAUGCGAUUUCAGAAAGGGCCGGCGACUUGUUAGGUAAAUCCCUAGCGCAACAAAAGUGCGCCGUGCAUGUAUGUGCCACACUUUUCAUUGCUGCGUCGCAAAAAACCUUUUUCCCUUGCAGAUUGACCGUGACCAGCUCCUGGAAGCUUGCGCGAAGCAGCAGGUGCGAAGUUGGAGAUUGGAGGAGGGAGAGGAGCCCGGGUUUACGACCAAAGGGGCAGGCCGGGCCGGAAGCGACUUGAAAUGGGCUUUUGUUGUGUGUGCCUACCUCACCCGCGCUUCGGCGGCCUUUACGGGGUGUGUGGAUAUGCACGAUGAUGCAUAGCUAUCGUUAUAGUGUACGACGCUCGAACGCGUUCUGCAGUAACGAGUGAAAAAUUUUGGAUUACUGGUUCGUUACCUCCUGCUAGAUGCUCAGGUCCUCUGUCCUUACCUACAUACCUUUCGGCCGUCUCCCCAACCUGGCUAUGCUCUGUGCAAAUGCAGUCAGAGCUGGACUGCCUGAGGUCGCAGCUCGUCACCUCCAGAACGGAGAAGGAAAGCGCGGCGCAAGUCUUGCAGCUCACCGCGGUGAGAAAGAGGGGCAAAGUGGCAGCCGGGGCUCUCUUUCUUUCUUUCUUUGCGUGUGGCUGCAAAUAGCCCCUACGGCAGGGGCUGUAUGUGAGCCUUAUACCUUUCGCCACGCCUCGGCAUGCGGUAGUAAUAGUAUGGUGGCAAUCGGUAAUAGUAUAGUGACAACUAAUUUUAGCUCAUGGACUCCUAAACUAGUUAGGAUUCCUGAUAAACAAAGGCGCAUGACCCGGGCCCUAAGAGAUACCUCGUGUAAGGGCUACUAGGCCUUAAGAGACGGGGACGGGGGGUUGGGCCCGUAGCCACGGGGGAUGGCGCUGCUUGUCACCAUGGAUGGCCUGCUUCGCAAAUGAUACCCACUCUGUCCACAUAUCACAGCCAUGUAUUUCCCGCGCAGAAUAUUACGUCGCAUCCUCUUCGUAAUAGUAUGAAAACUUGUGGUGAAAAAAUGUAAUUGCACAUGACAUGGAAUGCUCUGCAUGGUGAUCCAUCGAAGCUGGUCAUCCCUCACCACCCAACCCCCACCCGUGCCGGGCGUGAGGAUUAUGCCAUCCCAUUGUUCGAUACUUAAAUGUUUUAGCAAAACGUGCCGAUUAAGUGCGACAGGGGACUUCCUGCACGCCCAAAUCCGAACGGACUUCUGUCUCCGAGUGCCUCCGCCGUCGGCCUAUGGGGGAUGUAGCAGCUCCACUGCCACACACAGCAUUGUGCAUCGACUAACUUCUAAUACUUGGUGAACUGAGGUUCCGCUGACUGUUGGAAAUAUGCGCUGAUGAGGUCCCAGCUCGCUGUCCGGGUUAUCGGUUUCGUCCCCCUCCGAGUGCAGGACCAGGUCGACUGCGAGCGGGAGCGGGCGUGCAGCCUGAGCGCUGACAUGGAGCGCGCCAAGCAGGUAGUGGAGAGCAUCCACCAGCGGAUGUCGACUUUGGAGAGCGGCUGGCUCUUCAGCGGCUUGGGGGGCAGCUUUGAGGAGGUCUUACGGUGCGGUUGGGGGGUGGGAAGAGAGAACUGGGACCGGGCCGGUUCGACAGUGCACAGUGCUAAAGGAGGUGUAUCUAAGAGGAUGGAUGGAAAAUAGGUUGGAUGGAUCACUGGACGGUUCCAUGGAUGUGGAUUGCCAGGAAGUGGACAGUCGGAUCGGAACUUCCGGGAUGGAUAAAUCCAGAUACGUGCUGAGCACUGAUGCUGCAAUAUGCAUAUAUUGGUUCUUUUCCUCUUGGCGCAGUUUCCUGGAGCAGCUGGAAGACUUUGUGGUUGAGCGCAACGACCGCUGCGUCGCCCUGGAAGUAAGUCCCUAUCGUCUGCAUGCUUUGGUCGGUCACGCCGACCAGUCAGUAGGACAGCGCAUGCGAUGUGAGGGAGCGACUGGAAAGGGCAGGCGGGAGCUAUCGGGACAAAGAGGAGUCCUUUGACUUUUGGGUGGGAUCAUUGCGUCACGAUAUGGUAUCUUGGAUAUUGCAUUACAACAAAUUAAUUGUAAUAUGCACAUGUAUUAAUUAAAUCGUUAUUUUUCCAAUUUACAUUUGGCCAUCAUGCCACAGAGGCCCGGCACUGUCAUCCUCCUCCUCGAAACACCCUCUUCCCCUCCCCAUCUUGACACGCAGGCCCAGGCAGCCGAGCUCUCCCAGGACUUUGACAAAGUGGCAGAGGAGUGCAGCCGCCUGGGACAGGUGCGAAGUGGGAAACGCGUUGAUGGCUGCAUUGCUACUGGCGGUCAGGCUGUCGGUGUGUUGACGGUGCAUGCCCUCCAUCGAAGUUUUAGCCCUUGAGAUGCGGACGGGCCUUAUGCGCAAUUGGUGGCCCAAUGGUGACCUCCACGUGAUGCCCCAUCGGUCGGUGCUGUAGGACGUUUGUCUUCCAUCAUCUUUGUUGUCGUUGUUGCUGUUGCUGAUGGACCCCUUCUCCCGAAGCAAAUGCGCACCUGUCCAUCUUUUCCACCCCACUUCUUUUACCACCACCACCGCCAUCACUACCACAGCGCGCUGCGGAGCUGGCUGCGAAGCGCAGCGCCCUGUUGAGCGACGCGGUCAGGCUGACGGGUCUGUGCAAAGAGCUGGAGGCGGAACGCAUGGCAGCGAUCUCAGCACUGGAGGCGACGCGUCUGGAACGUGACGACCUGGCGCGUGUGCGGGAGUCCCUCAGCCGCAAGGUGGCUGACUUGCAGCUGCAUUGCGAAUCCGCCGGAGAUGAAAUAGCCGCCGCGGAGUCCCGGGUCGCGCAGCUUCAAGAGCAGCUGGCAGCCGUGGAGUCCCGGGCCGCCCAGCUGCAGGCAAAACUGGAAGCCUCGGACAGCCGGUGUGCGGAGUUGUCGGGUCAGGUUCGUCAGCUGCUUGAAGCUCCGGAGGAGGUGGAUGCAGUGAUGGUGGGUCUAAUGAACGAGGUGGAGCGUGAUGCGGAGAUGCAUGCGCUCUCUCAGGAGGUAGGUGUGUGAACCGCAUGAAAAGGGUUUGGAGGGAGAGAGGGAGGGCCCUGGGAGACUAGGAAUAACGAUAUCUCAAGUGUUCGCAACCAUCAACGUACCCCCACCUCACCACCUGGUCUGCAGGCUGAUGAACUACGUGGUGCCCUUGAAGCUGCCAAUGCGGAGAAGGAACGGCUGCAGGGCCAGGUGGCAGACGCGAACACGCAGGUGGGUCCAUUUCUGCCUCCUAACGGCUUAUCGGCCUCGUAAUGGAGCGGUGAGAGGCCGCUCGGCGCCGUUUUGUUGAGUAGCGAGAGCGAGGGAGGGAGGGAGUACUUUCAGGGCGUGUAUGCGCGCGCGAGAGUUCCUAUGCGUUCUUUCCUAAAGUUCUUUUUCGCCCCUUCGUCUGUGGCACUAAAACAUUCCGCGCAGUCGCAGGGUGACGAUGUGCUUGCUUCCAGCCCAGCGUCUGCUCUUUCUGAAGGUUUCCCAUUGCCCUCACCAGUUUGCAUUUUGGUGGGCAGCAGCAGUUUCUUGUUGCCGACGUAUAGGCGCUUAGGUUUUCCUGAACGACUUCUUCUUUUACCUUUGCCUUUACCUUCAUCUUUACCUAAUUUGGGAGUACGACCACCGGUUCCCUUCAAACCGCAACGUCAUAUGUUUGAUUAUAUGUUGAAAACGUUAUAUAUGCUUUACAAUAUGCUUUUUAUAAUGAAGUUCUCUGAUGAGGGUGUAUCCGAUGUCGGUGUCGCUGUCUUGUGGCAAUGGACACCGGGGGACACUUGCAGAGAGAGAGAGAGAGAGAGCUAAGAGGGGGUCGUGCGGAAGGGGUGGGGGAUUGCUGGCCCGGUCAGAGGGUUAUGUUGUCCCCCAACGUCUCCUGGUGGUGGUGGUGGAGAACCCGCUUUUAGUCUCCCCCACCUGGUGUGCUCCUCCGCACGCCCCCUCUCGCAGUCCUGGACGCUGGUGGUCGCACCACCACCUGAUGGCAGCGACUUGAACGAAUGAAUGACGCGCACGCGUGUCUGACGCCCGUAGAAACCGAAAUUCGCACGCAAUAUAAUGGGCCGAUAUAAUGUAUAUAAUGUAGUGCAACGCUAUGAAGCACAUAGAUGACCGCCCGAUGUGUCGGUGGCCAUGUUGCACCCCAUAGUGUGUGUUUGUGUUGCCGUUGAGUGCGAACGCAGUUUUUGAGGCCAUUUGGGCCGCCUUAAGUUUUUACCCGGUGCCUUGCUAUACAUGAUAAAAUAUACCCAAGGGUAAUAUACGCCGUGGUAGUCCCGGGGAGGUACCUGGACGGGGGGGAGCUGUUGAGAAAGAGACCCGGAUCGGGUGUGCGGAACGUGACAUACAUACAGUGUUGCGGGUUUUGCAAACAACGUCGAAUGCAGCAAAUAGAUGGGCGUGUUAUUUUUUGUGCAGCAGGAGGCUUCAUCCACAUUAGCAGGAGGCUGCUGACAUGCUUUUGUUAACUAACUUCUGCGAUAGUGUACGUAUGCCGGCAGCUUUCUUUGCCCUGUUGUAUUACAGGCGAGAACAGAUAUCGUUCACGAAGCGGAAUCGUCGAUCAGCCAUUAGUGGUGUCGUAGACGUGAAGUUGGUGAUUUUGAUCUUGUUGCGGGGAAGUUGCGCUUGACCGUUGUUGCAACUGCCCCAUGGCCCCUGGAUGUAACGGUUGGUGUUGCCGUUCGACUUGCCGCCAAGUUUUGUUUUCCCGAAGCUUCAAAGAAAGUUCUUCUCGAUUUGGUUCUUCACAUCCCAGAGGCUUGACGAUGAAAUUGGUUUCCUACCCAGUCCUACCAGAUAAGCACGGGAGGGGGUAUAUGUACACGGAACAAGAGUAUGCAAAGAGCCAUGCCUUGCGGUAAUAUUAUCUCCCCUAACUUCUCCCUGGACGCUGCCCUCGUUUGCGCUGUCGCUGUGAGUUCGGGCCUCCAAACCUUUUUCAGGCACUGUCCGUUGCUGCUGCGGGACCGGAGACUCGUUUUCCCGCACACAAACUUGGGAAUCUGUUUACACGACUUCUGCAUAUACCUACCAUUCAUGGUGCUCAACGCAACCGGGUUACGCAACCCGACGCAAAUGACAUGAUGUAUCUAUCGCUGCUCCCCACCACUGCCGCUUCUUAUUGACCCCACCGCACGCCAUCACUGGCCAUUUAAUGUCACUGCAGCUAGCGGCAGUACGGGCGCAGCUUACGUGUACGGAAGAGGCAAGCAGUGCAGCUACGGCGUGCCUCCGGGAACAGCUAGCAGCUGCUGGAGCUGCUGCUGAGGUUCGCCUUCGGGAGCGGCUGGGUGUCGUGGAGGAGGAGCGGACGCGCCUUGCAGCCGACUCUGAGGCCGCCCAAGCCCUUCUUAUGGGGGAGCUGGCAGCCAUGGAGAGGUUGCACGAGGUACGACGGCUGCUUUCCAGAAGCCUGCCUUGCGCGAGCACUUGGGCCGAGAAGACACGGUUGCAAAUGUAGUGUAUUAACGGUGGUAGCUGUCGGAAUGAGGUCACUGGAGUGGAUGGUUUACCGUUCAGGUUCAGAGCGCAGCGUUCUAUUAUAGCUCCCGGGCCGCAGCAACACGACAUUCAGCAGUGGCCGUACUCGUUGGCAUGGUUUAACUCGACUCAGAAUGAUGUUGCUAAGAACUAACGGUUGAAAGCCAUGUGGCCAUGUCUGAUGGCGGUCGGGUGCAUGAUGUGCAACCGUCACAUGUGCUGCGCUGUGGGCAAAAAAGGCCGAAAGCGGCCUCCUGGGUCUGAUCCAUGUGCCUGAACCAGAAGUCUGACUACCCCCUAAUACGGCACACUACCCGUUUCUGAAUCGCUCCAUGUACGGAUCUGUCUCACACACAGGCCGCACGCGUAGAGGUGGACUGCAUGAGGGUGCGGCUCUCCGCUUUUAUAACGGUUUCGGAGCAGGGCAGGCAGAGCGCGUCGGCCGUACUGUCACAGCUAGAAGCAGCGAUGGAGGAGGACAGAGAUCGAGCUGCACGCGCUGCACAGCAGUGGCAAACCGAGGCCGACGCCCUGGCGUCCCAGAUGCGAUCUGUCGCUGCCAGCGUUCAGCAGCGGGCGGAGGACCUUGCCGCCCUUCGCCAGAAGUUGACGGUUGCUGAAGCAGCCACCAGCGCCCGUGCUGCACAUGUUGAGGCUGCAAUGCGGUGCUUGGCGGACGCGGAGGCCCUGGCGCGGGAAAAGGCGGAAUCGCUGUCUCGUGUUAACGCACAGCUUGCAGCGGCUGCACGCGAUGCAAUGGAGGAACGUAAGCAACAAAUUUCCAUGCUCACCACUCGCCUUGCUGAUGCAGAGGCCCAAGCAGCUGAGCUGGGUCCUCUGCGUGGUCGGCUGGCCGAGGCGGAGGCACGGGCAGCCGAGCUGGAUCAACUUCGGCAGCAGCUGGCGGCGGCAGGAGCCCAGGUGGCUGAGCUAAAUCCCCUGUUAGAGAAAAUGGCUUCUUCAGAGCAGGCCCGGGCAGCUGAAUUGCACCGACUCCGAGUGGGGUUGGCUAAGGCGGAGGCCCAGGCAGCCGAGCUGGGGCCGCUUCGUGAGAAGCUUUCAGAGGCAGAGGCCCAGGCAGCCGAGCUGGAGCCGCUUCGUGAGAAGCUUUCAGAGGCAGAGGCCCAGGCAGCCGAGCUGGAGCCGCUUCGUGAGAAGCUUUCAGAGGCAGAGGCCCAGGCAGCCGAGCUGGAGCCGCUUCGUGAGAAGCUUUCAGAGGCAGAGGCCCAGGCAGCCGAGCUGGGGCCGCUUCGUGAGAAGCUUUCAGAGGCAGAGGCCCAGGCAGCCGAGCUGGAGCCGCUUCGUGAGAAGCUUGCGGAGCUGAAGGCUCAGCUGAAGGUAUGUUGGGCACUUGCGGUACUUCAAGCGUUUUAUGUGCUAAACUUAAUAUUGUUUGUUUGUCACCUCCCUGUCCGGAACAUGUUGCCGUGCUUGGCUUUUAUCUUUCGGAUUGGACACCAUACCGGCGGUGUUUUUUCUGUAUGUUAUCGCAUGGUGGGGUUGCGCUGGUAGCAAAAAACCAUCCAAAGGCUGGAUGCACAUCCUAGAUGGUUCCAAUGCCCACAUAUUUCUAUAAAAUUUUUAUAUCUGCACACAACCUGUCCUACAUACAAUUUUUACACGAGUCGUGCAUGGUUAUGAAAAUCUGCAGGUUUCGGAGCAGCAGCGUCUAACCGCCGAACAGCGCCUGACCGACGAGCGUACCUCCCUGUCGGAGCUGUCUGAGAAGCUGGCCCGAGUGGAGGCCAAGAGCCGCAUCACGGCGGCUGCGUCUGCUUCCUUGCUGCGGGAGCUGAACCUCCAGGCGGUGGAGCUACGGGUGGGUUUGGGCGGUGGGGUGGCGGACAACGGCGUUGUCGUUGGUGGUGGUGAUGAUAGCGGUAGCAGUAGCGAUUUGGGCAGCAGCUGCGACCACAACCUACCACUAGAUUUCCAGGAUGCGCCGAAAUCCUCUUCUCCUCUUAUCGACGUUGACGCUACUGGCUGCGUUGUCUGGUUGGAACUGUCUCCGGAGCGGUCUGCCGCACCGAGCAACAGCAACAAGCAACGACAUCAGCUACAGUCUGCUCCUGCCGUUGGUAAGAGGGCAUCCGCUGUCGGACACCUCCAAGGGUAGUAGCGGUGUUACCGGAUCGAACCGAUCUAGCGGAUCCAGCGGAUCCAGCGGAUCGAGCCGAGUGGGCCUCUUAGCUGCGGAAGUGGCAGUGGAGGCAGCGGAACCGCACAGCAAGGCAGCGGGUGUAGGGCAGGGCUGGGGAGCUCAGGCCUGUGGCGAACCCCGCGAAGAAGUGGGGGCUGUGCGGGGCUGUGCACUUUUGUGUGCUUCUCUCGUCCCCGCGAUCGCUAUAGGUGGGCGCUGCUGACGCGCGGCUAGGAAGGUGAGGUGCUCCAUUUGACGAUGACGUUACAAAUGCAUUUUGCGCGGGUUGGGAUUUAUGUGCAUCGCGAGGUAUUAAUUUUGUUUUUAAGGAUGGGCCAAAGUCCAAAGCGCUUAUACCGGCAUUCAAACUCCUACCGUGCUUUCACGUGUGCCUUUGCGACACUUACUAUCCGUUGAUUGUAUGUAUGUAUUCGUACAUGUACGUACGUCUGGUACGGAACUUGGAUGCCCUUCUUCCGGCGCAGGCACCAGGUUUUUCCGUUGACUAAUGUUGUACUGUUACCCGUAUUACCGUACAUGUUCGUACGCAGCGCUUUCUUUGGUCGCAUGUGAUUUUGCCCUUGGAGUUGUUUUCUACAACAAGGGCGUUGGGCUCCCAGGCCCCUAUAUUUGCUUUUAGCUGCUGCUGCUGCUGCUAAAAACGCCGGACACUGUAGGAAGAGGCAGCAACGCUUGCUGGUUAUCGUUCGUGCGUAUGUUUUGACGUUCAGCCAAAAGCUUUAUAUUGUUCUUUGGCAUCAAUUGCUUUAUGGCCAGGGGGUUGUUUUCCUAUCUUCCUCGGACUGCAUCGAACAAAUCACACGAAUCAUACAUACCUCGGCCCCGUGGCCCUUCUCCUGCCGGGGUUGACAGGGCGGCGGAAACCAGUACGCAGUCGCUAGUGUUCCUGACCCUUUCAACGACCGGUCAUGUCCCGCAGCCCGCCCACCAUGGCUGCUGCGUUCAGGGCUCCUGUCAAAAUGAGUAAACCAUUGUAACCAUUGGCCUAGUUCAUUUUUGGCACAAAAGGCCUCCUAACAGGCAGCAGGUCUAGACGAUGUCCCAAUUUCUUCUCCCUCUCCCUCUCUCGCACUCUUCCUCUCCCGCCCUUCCUGCAAACUACCUGCAAGCCACCUGCAAACGUUCCCUUCUCUUUGUUGUUUUGGACCUAAAUCCAGGCCAAAAAAAGGUGCGAGAAAACAUAGGCCGGCUUGGGGGCCCCGCGUUUUCCUCUUAGAGGAAUAUAGGAAUAUGCUUGGCAGUUGGUUGUGGCUUUGGUUCCUCCUGGUGCUCAUCCCUUCUGUCACCGGGCACACAGGGCCCGUACACACCCAGAGCCGGUGGAGCCGGUGUGUGCGGGCGCCAUACAUAUAGAGCAGCUUCAAAGGCGACGUCCUUGCUGGCCAGCGUGCCAGCUUGCUGGCUUACUUGAGAGCGUGUCUAACGAAACGUAGAUUCGACACACCACGACCUGAUGUAUCUGCUGACGUCAUCCAACGUCAUUCCCCAAGAGCCACCGCAAGCGAGAAAGAUGGGUGUUAUUGAGGGGCCUUAUUCGGGCCCGGGGCUUUAGCUCCAUUGUCCCCCAUCCUUCUCCCCCAGAAUGUGGCCCUGGAGGCAAGUGCACGUUCGACACACGUUUGGUUAAAGUCCGCUUCCUGUUUUCUCGUGGCGCCCUUCCCUUGUGGUGGUGGUGGUGGCUGCGAGACCUCCCGCCACCAGCCCUGGAGUAUCCUCCCAUCUAUGGUAUCAGUGUCACUCGUCUGUGGUUUGUCUUCCCCCCUCUCUCCCACUUCCUCCGUUGGCUAAUGCUCCCCCACCCGGCAGCAUGUUGGUUAUUUUCGGACCUGACUGGUGGCUGUCUGUCUGGCUAUCUACAUUACAUAUUCGCCUUCCAGCGUGUCCGUUAUUUCUUAACUACUCCUUUGGCUGUGACCCUACGUAUCACGUUGUUAAUUUCCAACUACCUCGCAUUCGUUUUGUCGAAUCCACACACCCAUCCGUCGCUGCGGAGUACCUGUUACUCGCUUUUCCAUCCUUCCUACCCGCCUACCCUCCUACCCACCCCUUAUCCUCCUCCUUUAGUUGGCGGCGGCAUAUGUGAUGGGCCGGGUUGCUUCAUGGUGCCAUCGCAUAAUCCUCCCCCCCUUGCCCUGCCCUGCCCCGCCGUGUCCCCUACUCCCCACUCGUUUGUGGUUCGUCUUUCCCCCCUUGGUAUCCCCUCUGGUAUCUGUCUCAUUCGCCAGUGGUUCGCCUUACCCCUCCCCUCCGUGUGUUUGUGUGUGUAUGUACGCAUGUAUGUAACCUGGCUGGUUGGAUGCACGCAGGCCUUCCUGGAGUCGCAGACCCACUCGCUUCAUGGCGCACUGCCAUCUGGGGUCCCCACGCCGGCCUCGGUGGCGGCCGCUGCGGCGGUGGGGGCAGCACCCGCAGGUAGGGUAGGUGGGGUCCGCCCUCGCUCGCCCCCGCGCUCCCCCCCCCUUGUUCAUCACCUAGCUCAGUCCUGAUAGAGUGACGUCCCCUCCUUGCCCAUGACCCCCUGUUUGGAGCCCCUUAGUCGCCUGCAUACCACCUACUGUCCGCUUGCUGGUCCUUGCCGUGUCACUGCUGCUGCUGCUGCUGCUGCUGCUGCUGCUGCUGCUGCUGCUGCUCACCGCCCUCACUGCCCACACAGUCCGCAUUGAUGAUAAUGCUGAUGUUGAUGUUAUUGAGGAGCACGGCGGGUCGUUGGGGGCCAGGGGAUCGAUGAGCGGGGAGGAGGAGGAGGAGGAGGAGGAGGAGGAGGAGAGGCGCGUGAGGGUGUUCUUGGACCAGGUAAGUGCGAGGGGGCUGGGAUGAGAGGGGUGGGGGAGCGGGGGUGCGAGUGGGUGGCGGCGGUGGUGAUGGUGCGAUGUGUUGGAUGGGGGGAUGAGGGGAAAGGCUGGUAUGGCGGCAGGGGGGCCCCCGGACAGCGGUGUGUGUGUGAGGGGGGGAGGUUGAGAAAUUACGGCGGGUGAAGGUGCGCCUCCCUCCACGUGCCCAGGUGCGGCUGCUCAUAGCGCAUUGCGGUGAGCUGUCUGAGGAGAUGCGGCGGAAUGAGGAGAGCCUUGAGGAGGCCAGGGAGCGGAACCGCGUGCUGGCGGACGCGCUGGCGGAGAUGGACAGCCAGGUGCGUGUAUGUUUGCAUGCAUGUAUGUAUAUUUGUAUGUAUGUCUGUACGCAUACACUUGAUGGGGACUUACAGCGCGGGGUGUUGCUUUGCUUUAGGGCACAAAUUCACAAUUUUACAUUGCAUGCCAACACAAUCGUGCGUGCGGGUUGUAAAAUCUUUGAUAACCACUAACCACUCUACUGCCCUCACACUCACUCAAGCCCCCUUGUUCUGUUUCCUGUUUAUGAUUUGGGUGACAACAGCUAAACGCCGUAACAGCGGCUGCCGAGCAAGCCAUCCGCGCCGCAGCCGCCGCGACUAGGGUGGCCGCAGGCAAGUCCCUCCUAUCGACUCGGCGGCCCGCCUCUGCCCGCGGCCGCGGAGCAGCAGCAGCAGUAGCCGCUGCCAAGUACGACUGCCCAGCACUGCCAUCCGGGUUGCUGCCGCCACUCUGUGCAUCCCACUCCGAGCGGCGGGGAGCCGCGCUACUGCUAGCCGCUGGAGCCUUCGGUGACGGCAGCAGUAGCAGCAGCAGCGGCAGCCGUAGCUUGGAGUGCACACCGCAGCGAGACCAGGAUACUGGCCGCCGCUUCCACCGUGCGGCUGCCGCCUCCUCCGCCUCCGGCGCGGCAACCCGGCUCCACGACCACGUGAUAGCCGGUGGGGCCGCGGCGGGGCCGGCGGCAACAGCGUCAUCACCAUCAUCAUCAUCGCCGCCGCCGUCAUCGUGUGACAAUCCUGAGAUCCUGAGAGCCGUGAUGAACCAAGCUGCAGCUGCAGUAGCAGUGGCCGUCACGACAGCCACCACACCGGCGGCUGGUGACGGUGCUGGCGGUGUUCCGAGUUCUUGUGCGGAGGCGGCGCCGGCGGCGUCGGAGGAGGUGGAGGCGGUUUCGGCGGCAACGGAGGCGGUCUGCGCGCCUCCUUCUUCUUCUUCUUUAUGCAUGGCGGCUGGUGGUAGUGAUGGUGGUGAUGGUGGUGGUGGUGAUGGUAAGGGUGACGGCGGUAAAGGACCUUCAGUAGUGGCUGUGGCUGUGGACCUGAUGGGCCCUAUGGUGGCUCCAGCUCCCCGUCGCAUAUCACAGGUGGGUUGUCUACGUAUGUGCGUACGAAUGUACGAAUGUGUAACUCAAAUAGAAAUUUGUUAUUGUGUUUUAGGAUUAGGCAUAUAGGACAUGACGACAUGCUGACGGGUCGUUCGCUGAGGUGAUGCUCUGAUGGCGGUGGUGGUGGUGCGACGGUGGCGACCGUGAUACAUUGUUCCUUCGCCUCCCUUCAUCACUCCUCCCCCUCCUUACCCUUCCUGGACAUCUGCCGCAGCACUCUGCCAUUCUCUGCAGCGGGCUCACUCGUUCGUGGUUCGUCUUUUCCCCUCCUCACCAUCACCUUCCUCCUGCCCUUCAUCUCUAUUACUGAUGGGCCCCGGGGUGGUGCGGUGUGUUGUGCUGUGCUGGGCAGGCCGACGUGGAGCUGCAGGUGGAGGGUCUGGUGUCCCUGGCCGCCCAGCUGGCUGUGCUGCAGAGCUGCAGUGAGGAGGCGGAGGCGGAGGUGGCGGAGCUGAGGGCGGAGAGGGAGCGCUGCCAGCAGGUGGUGAACAGCUGUGACAGGGUGGGGGGGUGGGCCGGGGCGAGGCGGGAUGGAUUGGCGGGAUGGCGAUGAGUCAACCACCCGCUCGCUCGCUAUUUCAAGCUUCGGCGACCACACAAUUGGAGGCGUUGGGGCUUUAGCAGUUUGGUGGCUUUGGGUCGUCGGUCGGAUUGAGUUGAUGAGGUGGGGGCGUUUUCUCAUGAGAUGCACGAAAACUCGUGAUAAGAAUGAGAUGCUGCCACACAACCCCUUUUUGGUUCUCAAUCGGCGCCAAUCUUCCGCCAACCACCUUACAUUUCCCGUAUGCCCGGGCUCCCCUGAUGCCAUCCCCGCCGUAUUGCCAUGCAACUCACCCUUGCACCCGUCCAUUGGACCUGAUGGGCGCACGUGCUGCUGAUGUUGAUAAUGAUGAUGGUGAUGGUGAUGAUGAUGGUGAUGAUGGUGGUGGUGGUAGGAGCUUGAUGUGUACGUCCGGCGAGUAAGCGACCUGGCUGCUGCUGCCUGCCGCCACGUCAGCGCUAGCGCCAGCCGCCGUACGACGCUCAGCCAGCCGCCAAGCCGCCGCGUCAGCCGCCACCACCAUGUACACGGCCACGGCCACCCACAAGCCGCUGAGCCCGAGAUAGGAGCAGAGCCAGUAUUGCUGCGGCAGCAACACGAGCAUGAUCAGGAUCCAGAUCUGGAUGUGGAUUUGGAUUUGCGGUCCGCUGUGGCGGCGCUGGUUGCGUCCCCCCCACCAAUGGAUGCCGUUCCAGGGGACGGUACGGAGAGGACGGGGGCAGAGGAGGAGAAGGGUGAUAUCUUCUCCAGUCGCCGGAUGAGGGGGGAGCUGGAGGAGCUGAGCGGGCAUUUAGAGGUGGGAGGGGGGAGGGGGGGGAUUAUUUUGGGGGCGGGGGAAAAGGGUCGCCCCCGGGGUUAGAAUCCUGCCGUGUUGUCAGGGGUUGGGAUCAGGCCCCAUAGGCUCCCUCACCGGUCCCUCGCAGUUCUCUCUUUCCCACCGGUGUCAACUAGCUCCCUUGCACCCCGUGUGACCGUGGUGGUGGAGGUGGUGGUGGUGGAGGUGGUGGAGGUGUGAGGGGGCUUUCACAGCUCUCGCCGGGGCCCCCUUUUUACUACCCUCUUAGGGCUCUUCCAACCCUACCGCGAACCCUAAGCCCUGCCUUCACCCUCACUUUCCACACAUUCGGGGGCCCCCUCUCCCCUGGGCUAGCCGUCUACCUCGGGUAUCUGCUUCAUUCGCCGUCCAGUGGUGCGUCUUACCCUCCCCCCCCCCUCUGUCUACCCCUCCUGUAACUUAGGCUCUGGCCGCCCUGGACGCCGAAGCGGCUGUCCUGACUGAGCGCGCGGAGGAGGGAAGGAGGCAGCUGCAGGCGGAGGUGGAGGCGCUGCGGGGCCAGCUGCAUGAGGCGCUGGAGGCCAAGGCGGCGGAGGAGCGCAGGUGGGGAUGUGGCAGGAGGGGAGGGACGAGGGGGAGGAGGGGUGGGGAUGGAUAUUGUGGCGUGGUGCGUGUAGCAAAACAUAGUGCGCUUUGCCAUACGACGUCGUGGUGGUUGAGGUGGAGGUGGAGGUCCGUUCUCUCUCCCACGUUUGGCAGGGGGGCCCGAGGGGUGGAAGCUUAGCGCGCCGCAAAACGGGGUGAUGAGGACUUCUUAGGUACUCUGUGUUUUAGGACAUAUAUACAUAUAUACAUAUAUACAUAUAUGUAUGUAUAUAUAUGUAUAUAUACAUAUAUACAUAUAUGUUGUUGCUGUUAUUGAUGUUGCACGACUGCGGAUGAGAGACUGUUAUUAAGUCGGUUCUCAGGGCAGGUCGAGGUCGUUACUCUGUUGACUGGAAGGGCCUAGUAGGCGCUGGCAGUAACGACGGUUGAUUGUUGGGAGUUAUUCGGUUGACAGCUUUGAUCCGUUCAUAUCGGGCGUGCAGGAAGGACGCGCUGUUGGUUGAGAGGAGCGCCAUCGUGAAGGAAAGGGACGAGCUGACUGACCUGUACGGCAAGCUGCAGCACGAGCUGGCCAAACUGAGCAAGGAGCACGAUGAGCUGCAGCAAGCUAAGGACGAGCUGGACGAGCAGUACGGCAGAUUGGAGCGCGAGUGCGAGGAGCUCCAGGAUGAGCUAUCGAAGCUGCAGCAACAGCAGGACGAGCUCAACCACGAGUACGGCAAGUUGACGGUGCAGCGGGACGAGCUCGUUAAGGAGCGGGGCGAGCUCCGGACCCAGUCCGCGAAGCUGCAGCAGCAGCGGGACGAGCUGGUCAAGGAGCGGGACGAGCUCCAUGAGAAGAGCGUCAAGAAUGACUGCAUUGAGAAGAGGUUGGCGCUCGCCAACAGCGCCAUAACUGAGUUGCGCUCGCGUCUUGAAGCUUCCCAGGCGGACUUGCGGGUACGUGUGUACCGGGGGGGUUAGGGUUUAGAGUUUUAGGGUUUUAGGGUUUUACCCACGCGACGGCAAGACGCCCCGCAACAGUCCAGUCCGCCCGUACAAAACACACACCUGUCCAUGGCUAGCUGUCUUUGGGUUUCAGGGUUUUCCCGAGCCUUCCUCCUCCUCCCCGCUUUCGCGUUGCGCGAUUAUGAUUAUGCUUGUACUCCUAUCUACUACUACUUUCCCUCGCUCUCCCCCUUCCCCUUUCCUAAGAACGCCUACUGGUCAGUCCUCUGCUUCUUGUACAUUCUUUCCUUGGCAGCAGCUUCACUCGUUCGUGGUUCGUCUUUUCCCCCCCUUAUCCCCCUUCAGGGCAGUGUGGAGAGCAACGCCAGCCUGGUGGCUGAGCUGGGCACCAAGCAGGCCGAGCUGGAUGAGGUACGACAGACAGACAGACAGACAGACAGACGUUAAGAACUCCUGUGGCCGGUCGGUCAACCCGUAGAUGGUUGUAGGAUUAACCGAUAGCCCAACAACCAACGGACAUGCCACGCCCUGCCAUGACACCACCGCCGUGUCAUCCUCUGUGGUCCCGCACACCGCGGCGAUACCCUCCCCCCCUUGCCUGCUCGGUGGGGGAGAAAAGGGGCUGCGGAUAGUCCGGUGGAUAGUCCGGAGGGUAGGUAGCCGCCAUCCCUCUAAAUGUACGGGUGGGAAGGCGUUGCUUGGUUGGCAAGGUCAUUGUAUACUUUUGUAUACAGUAGGUAAUACAGUAUGGCCUAGUGUAAUUUUAGUAAACUAGAUUUACACUAUAGGUAAUCUCUAUUGUUAAUAUGUAAAUACCGUCCCACUCGUGGAACAGUAUUUACAUAUUAACAAUAGUACAGUAGUUUAGCCCAAAAUUGUAGAUGUAGGGUUGUGGCAUUGAAGGUAAGGUAGUUGAAGCGCUGGCUGCCCAGGGCGACACUGUCCAGGGUUUGCAGCUCCUUUGCAGCUCAUUACUAUAUACGUACUACUAUUGGUAUCAUCCUUUGGAGAGGUCGUCUGACCUAUAAGGUUGAAGCCCUAAGUUCCCCUAGAUAAGAAAAGCAAUCCAGGGAGGGGGAAAGAAACCCGAUAGCCACGCCCUGCCGAGCAUCGCAAUAUCCAACAGUCGCCUUGAAGCGGGGCGGUGACCGGGACUGGGUUGGGGCCGCAUCGGGGCACACGCACAUCGCGCAGGGCGUACUCCUUCCUUUACUUGCUCGCGGAAGCGUCCGCCGCCAUCCCACCUGUCCAAACCUUGGCAAGCCCAGCCUUGGCAUCAUCGCACAGCUGCUAAGCAAGAGCAGCAUCACAACCGGCCCAGCGGCUGGCGGCGGCGGCGGCGGCGGCGGCAGCGGCGCCACCGCGCCGAUCUCGUCACCCCUCCACCACCACCUCCAUCAGGCGAUUGGCACAGUCGCCCUCAAUGAUACCACCACCGCGACGUCCGCCGCCCCGGCUGUCCCUCUCCCGCUGCUAGCCGCUGACCCCCCGCCGCCUGCCGGUCAGGGAUCGCGCUCAGCGUCUUCAUCCCACCACCUCCUUUUUGCUGCAGCUGCUGCUGCUGCUACGGUGACGGCGACGGCAGGCGCCCGCGCAGCCGGCACAGUGCUUGACCGCUCACCUAUGACUCACAACCACCAGACUCUGACUGCCGUACACGAUUCACCAUUUACUGUACCGUACACUGUAGCUGCAACCACCGCAACCAUCACAACCAGCAGCAGUAGUGACGGCAGUGUCAGGGGCCGCAGGGGGCCGCAGCACCCGCUGCUCGCGCAAUCUUCGGAGCGACCCCCUAGCGCAGCUCCUGUGGUAGCGGACAGACCCACGGGUCGGUCAGUGGGUGGGGGUGCGGGUUUGGGGACAGGGCACAGUUUGGCUCCCCCGCCACCCGCUGUGGUGGAUGCCACCUCCUCCUCCUCCGCCGCCACCGCCGCCGCCGCCCCGGAGCCGGAACCGGUGUCCAAUGGCCCCACCAUCGUGAGGGAGCGGAGUCAGGGGCAGGGGCAGGGGCAGGGUGUAUCUCACUUAGCCUCACGCGUCAGCUGGCGCGUUGCGGUGGGAUGGCCCCAGAGCGGAAGAAGCCCCGGGGGGGAAGGUGCGGGCAGUGGUGCGAGUGUAGGUGGCAGCGUGCCGUCCACGUUGCGGGCGAUAUGGAGCGAAAUUGUGCACGAAGAAUGAGCGCAGGGACGCUCUGACAGGGACGGGGGAAAGGGGGUGGGGAGAAGGAAAAAGGGGGUAAAGACGAUUGGGACUGGAAGGGUGUUUCAUGCCGUGUUGAUCUCGUGGGGGUGGGGGCUUCGGGCCCUUUGGGGGACCCGGACCCUUAGUUGGUCUUUCCUCUCCUUCGCAGCAGCAAAUGCUUCGCUGCUCAGGUUCGUAUACAUCGUUGUACAGCGUCGUACAGCUUUAUGGGAGGCUCAUGCACACUGCAUGUCUUGUGUGCAUACGCAGGGGACAACCAUGAGCAGCAUGGGAGUUUUCCUUCCUUUCCGGUUUACGAGGUAUCUAGCAGAUUUCUAGGGAAGCUGCUGCCGUGCAUGUAAACAUGUACUUGGCGUCUUCCGUGUACUGGCGUCAGGCGGGGUGGCUUCCCACCACGGAAAAACGAACUGAUAAGCCCCUGAUGGACGAUGACACCGAUAAGGGGGCCCGCGCCCCGCUGCGUGUACCGACAAAUCAUUAUGGACUGUGCCUGAGUGUAGCAGCAGCAGCAGCAGCAGACAGUAGUAGUUUUUUGUUAGGGUUUCGGAUGGCCCGUCUCAUGUGGAGAUGUGAGUAGUGGUAGAGACUCCAUCCUCAAUUUGGUUCUCAGGAGUGUAAUAAUCUGCAUAAAUAAUGGAUAAUAUAACACACUGCGAGCGCCUUUUUGCAGUGUUUGGCAAUGUUUGCAGUUCUUGCAUUUCAACUCUAUUGGCAUGUAUAACGUUUUAACCCAACAGGAGCAGCAAGUCUAGGAGGUAAGAGGUCUCCUUCCCCUACACCCACCCCCCGAGACACACACACACACACACACUCUUUCUCUCUAUCUCUCUCCCCCGCCCUUCCCACACCCUCCCUCCCUCUUUAUCUGUCUCUCUCAUAACUCCCCCUUAACUCCCUUCUCCCCAUUCCGGGUAAGUGAAUAUACCUACAUGUAUAUUACAUGUAUAUCCCGGUAUAUAUAUUACAUAUCCAUACACAUACAUGUAGGCAUAUGCAUAUAUCUACAUAUGUAUAUAGGUAAUGUAGAUGUGCAUAUACACACAUAUACAUAUUUAUUACCCAGAUAUGCCGGAAGGGAUUUUUGCGUCAUCAUCAGAUCUCCCUCUCCCCCCCAUCUCCCCCCCCACAGUAUCCCCCCCCACCCAUGCUUUCUCCCCUUUCCCCCCACCACCCCCCAACACACAGCAACACUCUUUCCCUGGCAGCAGUUUCACUCGCUCGUGGUUCCUCUCUCCUCCCCCCCACCCCAGCACACCCUGCAGCGAUCUUGUCCUCGUUCAGCGUUCCCACGCGGCUGUAAUGACGAAUGCUCGCAGGGGGCUCUAAUCAGCAGUGCAGCAGAUGACUCUGUGAUGUUGUGUGAAUGACGAUCAUCGUCAUCAUCAUCAUUGUAAUACAUAAUAACUAUGUAUUAAUAUAAUCCCUCUUAGCCUCCCAUUUCCUGCCUCAUCAUCCCUUCAAGAGACCCUUCGCUUCUUGUAUCGUAUAAUCCACCCUCCCUCCUUCCCUCCCUCCCUCCCCAACAUACAUACAUACAUACAUACAUGAACACACAGGCGGCCGCUGAGUUGGUCCGAGUGGCUGCUGCCAGUGAGGGCCUUAUGGCCCGCAACCAGGAUCUCGUGGCAGAGAACGGGGAGCUGCUCCGAAACCACGCAACCCUCAGCGCCGAGUUCGAGUCCGCACAGGGCCAGAUCGGGGACCUACAAAAUCAGGUUUCGGAGCUGGUGGCCGCACGAACGGAGCUGCUAGGGCAAGUUUCGGAGCUGGAUGCGGAACGGGAGCAAGUGCAGGACCAGGUUUCGGAGCUACAGGCCCGGGCUUCGGAGCUGGAGGUGGAGCGAGAGCAGCUGCUGGCCGGUCGGGCGGCUCUGCAGGACCGUUUGGCUGAGGUAGUGGCAAAGAGGGCGGCGCUGCAGGACCGUUUCGAGGAGCAGGGGGCGGCGCGGGCGGCGCUGCAGGCGCAGUGCGAGGAGCUGAAGGGGCAGCUGGAAGAGGCAGUGAAGCAGGUGGGGGUGUCGGGGGGUGGGCGUGCUGAUGAGAAGGUGCAUAUAUCCUUUUCGUGCUGUAGACCGAAUUAUAGAGCCUAGCUAGCCGAAUGGAAGGUGUGGGGCUGUGAUGAGAUCCCGUCCCGAAUCCUUUUCUUCGGCCGCGCGUGUGUGUGCAUGUGUGUUUGUGUGGGGGAGGGAGAGGUGAUAGGCGGGUGGGUGGGCGGGUGUGUCCAUACCCUACUGCCCUGCCGCCCUUCUCAUACACAUGCAGUAACAGCACAGGUAACAGCGCACAGGCACACCCAAUUACACCCCCGCCCUGCUCCCGCCCACCGCCUGAUGGCUACCAAGUCCCUAAGUCCUUAGGCUGUUGGUAUGGCGCCUUUUUGCCCUUUUCCUGCUGCACGUGUGCAUGUAUGUAUGUAUGUAACCAUGUAUGUGCGUGUGAUGACGACCUCGGCUGCCCUCCGUUUUCCCUACUUCUGCUCCGGCUGUGCUGCUGCUGCUGCUGUUGCUGCUGCGGCGGCGGUGGCUGACCACACCCCUCAUCCGCGUCUGUGUAUAUGCGCGUACGUAUGUAUGUGUGUAUGUAUGUUCGCAGAGGUCUGUCCUAGAGGCUCAGCUGGCUGCGGCGUCUGAGCGGGAAGGUGAGCUGGUGGCUCACCUCGAGGAGGCGGAGGCGGAGGUGCGGGUGCAGACGCAGCGAGCAAUCGAGGUGGGGUUUUGGGUUGGGGGGGAAGAAGGGCAGAAGGGAGGGGGUUAAAAAGGAGGCUGGGGUAAAGGAGGAGAGGCUGGUGCGGGUUUCUGCUUCUGCGAGUUUGUGUGUAUGGGAGGGUGGCUGGGUGGGGCCGAUACGGGGCAGUGUGCGGGUGGAGGGACAAGGGAGGUUGAAGUGCGUAUGUAUGUCUGUAUGGGUAUGAGUCUGAGUAGGUGGGGAAUGGGAAAUUGGUCGGUGGUUUACUCGGGGGGUCUGCACUGUCCGAUGGUAUGCUUUCUAAUUGAUAUGUAUGUAUGUAUCUAUCUAUCUUUGUAUGUACACGUGCGCGCGAUGCGGCGGGGGGGGUUCAUUGGGGUUCAUUUGAGGGGGUGAGGAGGAGGAGAAGGGGGUGAGGGGGAGAAGAGGGGUAAUUGUGUCCAAUAAGACCUUAUGUGUGUGGCGGACAACACAACUCCACCAUAUUGAUUUAUAUCUAUGUAGGUGUGCAUCUAUCUAUCUAUAUUAUAUAGAGAGGGAGAUAAGAGAGGUAGAGAGGGGUACAUGUAAAUGAGUAGGUACAGACAUAGAUGCAGGGGGAGAGGUAACCCCUCUACCAUAUACAACCCCUCUACAGCGCCAUUCGAUUCAUUAAUUCCUCCUUCCCAUCAUCACUGUGAGUGUGUUGAUAUGGUGUGUGUGUCCCUCUGUAUGUCGCACUGUAUGUCGGUAUGUCACGUGUUUCUUCCCAGUUGGCUGAGACGCUGGACAGCACCCUGGAGGACGUCAACGGACUGCAGGUGGAGGUUGGGGGGUUGGGGGGUUGGGGGGGGUUGAGGAAGGGGGAAUUGAUUCUUAGGGGGGGAAAGGGGGGGAGCUUAGGGUUGUGAACAUACAGUUUAUACUACUACGUCGAUAGGACCUCAACGCCUGUUAGCCAGCUUUCUGCAAAGAAACACUCGGAAUGUGUACGUUUUACGGAUUUGCUCGUCCACUUUCCGCUGUACGGCGACCAUGUGAUUCCAUCAGCCACCGACCUUUCAUCCUUACAACUGCUCUUCAGUUCUGGGGACUGCUACUGUUUGUUUUCGUGACGGAUAUCCUGGCCUGGACGCCGUACUUGUAAAAAACCGAAUGUCUCAAUGCACAAGCACAGGGACUGUAGGGAUGUGUCUGUACGGAUAUUCGUAGUGCUGCCCUGGCCCUCUGAAACCCCGAAUAUCCCUCUGUUCGCCCCCUCCUGCCCUGUCCUCCCCCUCCUGUCCUCCCACUCCCCCGCGGCCCUAAGGCUGAUGCCGAGACGACCAACCGCCUGCUGGGUCAGGCCCAGAGCGAGGUGGACUUCCUAAAGGGGCAGGUGGAGCGGCUCCGAGUGGCACUGCUGCAGGCGGAGGAAAGCGGGAGGAGGCGGAAGCGGAGGCCGCCCAGCUGCACGACGCCGUAAAGAUGGCGGAGGCGAAGCGGGAGGCGUCGGCGGCGGAGGCCGUGCAGCUGCGCGACGCUGUGGAGCUGGCGGAGGAGGGCCGUGCGGCAGCGACGGCAGAGGCCGCCCAGCUGCACGACGCCGUAAAGAUGGCGGAGGCAAAGCGGGAGGCGUCGGAAGCGGAGGCCGCCCAGCUGCACGACGCCGUAAAGAUGGCGGAGGCGAAGCGGGAGGCGUCGGCGGCGGAGGCCGUGCAGCUGCGCGACGCUGUGGAGCUGGCGGAGGAGGGCCGUGCGGCAGCGACGGCAGAGGCCGCCCAGCUGCACGACGCCGUAAAGAUGGCGGAGGCAAAGCGGGAGGCGUCGGAAGCGGAGGCCGCCCAGCUGCACGACGCCGUAAAGAUGGCGGAGGCGAAGCUAGAGGCGGCGGAGGCGGAGGCCGUGCAGCUGCGCGACGCUGUGGAGCUGGCGGAGGAGGGCCGUGCGGCAGCGACGGCAGAGGCCGCCCAGCUGCACGGCGCCGUAAAGAUGGCGGAGGCAAAGCGGGAGGCGGCGGCGGCGGAGGCCGUGCAGCUGCGCAACGCUGUGAAGCUGGCGGAGGAGGGCCGUGCGGCAGCGACGGCAGAGGCCGCCCAGCUGCACGACGCCGUAAAGAUGGCGGAGGCGAAGCGGGAGGCGGCGGCGGCGGAGGCCGUGCAGCUGCGCAACGCUGUGGAGCUGGCGGAGGAGGGCCGUGCGGCAGCGACGGCAGAGGCCGCCCAGCUGCACGACGCCGUAAAGAUGGCGGAGGCAAAGCGGGAGGCGUCGGCGGCGGAGGCCGUGCAUCUGCGCAACGCUGUGGAGCUGGCGGAGGAGGGCCGUGCGGCAGCGACGGCAGAGGCCGCCCAGCUGCACGACGCCGUAAAGAUGGCGGAGGCAAAGCGGGAGGCGGUGGAGGCGGAGGCCGUGCAUCUGCGCGACGCUGUGAAGCUGGCGGAGGAGGGCCGUGCGGCAGCGACGGCAGAGGCCGCCCAGCUGCACGACGCCGUAAAGAUGGCGGAGGCAAAGCGGGAGGCGGCGGCGGCGGAGGCCGUGCAGCUGCGCGACGCUGUGGAGCUGGCGGAGGAGGGCCGUGCGGCAGCGAGGCAGAGGCCGCCCAGCUGCACGACGCCGUAAAGAUGGCGGAGGCGAAGCGGGAGGCGGCGGCGGCGGAGGCCGUGCAGCUGCGCGACGCUGUGAAGCUGGCGGAGGAGGGCCGUGCGGCAGCGGAGGCAGAGGCCGCCCAGCUGCACGACGCCGUAAAGAUGGCGGAGGCGAAGCUAGAGGCGGUGGAGGCGGAGGCCGUGCAGCUGCGCGACGCUGUGAAGCUGGCGGAGGAGGGCCGUGCGGCAGCGGAGGCAGAGGCCGCCCAGCUGCACGACGCCGUAAAGAUGGCGGAGGCAAAGCUAGAGGCGGCGGAGGCGGAGGCCGUGCAGCUGCGCGACGCUGUAAAGCUGGCGGAGGAAGGCCGUGCGGCGGCGGAGGCGGAGGCCGCCCAGCUGCGCGACGCUGUGAAGCUGGCGGAGGCGAAGCUAGAGGCGGCGGCGGCGGAGGCCGUGCAGCUGCGCGACGCUGUGAAGCUGGCGGAGGAGGGCCGUGCGGCAGCGACGGCAGAGGCCGCCCAGCUGCACGACGCCGUAAAGAUGGCGGAGGCAAAGCGGGAGGCGGCGGAGGCGGAGGCCGUGCAGCUGCGCAACGCUGUGAAGCUGGCGGAGGCAAAGCGGGAGGCGGCGGAGGCGGAGGCCGCGCAGCUGCACGACGCCGUAAAGAUGGCGGAGGCAAAGCGGGAGGCGGCGGCGGCGGAGGCCGUGCAGCUGCGCGACGCUGUAAAGCUGGCGGAGGAGGGCCGUGCGGCGGCGAGGCGGAGGCCGCCCAGCUGCACGACGCCGUAAAGAUGGCGGAGGCAAAGCGGGAGGCGGCGGAGGCGGAGGCCGUGCAGCUGCACAACGCUGUAAAGAUGGCGGAGGCAAAGCGGGAGACGGCGGAGGCGGAGGCCGCGCAGCUGCGCGACGCUGUGAAGAUGGCGGAGGCGAAGCGAGAGGCGGCGGCGGCGGAGGCGGUGCAGCUGCGCGUGACGCUGUCAGGGCGCUGCUGAGGCGCGGGAGUUGUUGGUGGCGGAGGCGACUCAGUUGUGGACAACUCUCCAGGAGGGGCUGGAGGCGCGGAAUGGGUUGGAGGCGGAGGCCGCGCAGCUGCGGGGUGCUGUGAAGCAGUCUGAGGAGGAGCGGGAGGAGGCGGAGGCGGAGGCCGCUCGGCUUAGGGUCUCCCUGCAGGAGGCGGUCAAGAGGCGGGAGGACGUGGAGGCUGAGGCGGCUGAGCUAAGGUCGUCUUUGCAUCAGGCGACGGAUCAGCGGCAGGAGGUGGAGGCGGAGAUGGGGACUCUGAGGGGAGACGCGAAACGGCUGGAGGCGCAGCUGGAGCAUCGCCGUCGUCAGGUAUGUAUGCAUGUAUGUAUGUAUUUGGGGGGGUAGUUGAGUGAGUUUUAAGGGAGGGGCAGGAGGGGAUGGGGAGAGCGAAGGUUGAACGCUGUAAUGGAUCAGGGUGCAGUCGUAAGCUCUGGAUGGAAUAGGUAGAGGGGGGCGGUAAGGAUAGAAAGUAUAGAGGGGGGGGGCAAGGGUGGUGAAAUGGUUUUCAUGUAUGUGUUUUUCUGUGUUCUGCAGUGCGAGGACGUGUUGUCCCGUGUCCACGCCAAGGCGGUGGAGUGUUGCGACCUUCAGAAGCGGCUGGAGGAGAAGUCCCAGCAGCUGGCCGCCGCUGAGGUGCGUGAGGGGCAGAUCUCGUACAGCAUCUCUGGGCAGUGCCUGGCAGGGCGGAGCAAUGCCGGUCUGGUGGAGGACCCGCGUGCCGCGGAUCUGAAGCUGGCUGGCUGGCUGGCUGGCUGGCUGGCUGGCUGGCUGGCGAGAAAGCCGCUUGCUUUCCACUGGCCAACGGAUUUGCCUAUCUGCCCGGUCCCCUCAUACAUACCUGGCGCAUACUCCUUUUUACCCAAUUCCUAAUGUGCCUCGCAAUCGCCCCACCACCCAUUCGUAGCUCCGCGUCCUCCCUCUACCCCCUCUAACCCCCCUACCCCCUCAGGUAGGUCUCUCUCACGCAGCCUCUAGCUCCAUGCCGUGCACCCGUUACCCCCGUUAACCGUGAUUCCCGUUUACCGUUACUUCUGUUGUCGGUCUCCCUCCCCUUCCCCGUCCAUACACCAUCGUAAUUACUCUCGAAAGGCCGCUCGAUAUCCCCUCUUUCCCCCCCCCCCGCUGCACACGUACACGCGACUUCACCCCCCCCUCCGCGUCCUCCACCCGCGAGUCAGGACUCGGCCAACCGGCUCCGGGAGUUCAACUUGGUCUUGGUGAAGAAGCUCCACUCGGCCAAGGUGCGGACUGGGCGAGUGGGGAGGGGAGGGGAGGGGAGGGGGAGGGGAGGGGGUGUAGUGGUGGCGCUACGCACUUUCUCUCAGCCCUCGUGCGUGUUUGCAACGAUGGCUCUCCAUGGUUUUCGUUUUGAGCCCCCACACAUGUCGGGCAUGUUGACAGCAGGCUCAUGUCGGGCUUUUGAGAUCUGAGCUGGCUACGUUUCGGAUCUAGGUGCACAUCAUGGCUCUCACGCAUCAGGCAUCCAUUCAAACCUAUGUAACAAUAGGCUGCUAACCAAAUCGAGUGAAACAGGCAUCUAUGUGCCCAGAAUUGAAACAUCUACAUGAAGCCUGGAAAGCCAGGGUUUAUUAUUCUCCACAUAGGACCCAUCUAUGUAUAUGUGUAUGUAUAUAUGUAUGUGUGUAUGUGUAUAUAUGUAUGUAUGUAUGUGCUUUUUCGACAUCUUAGCAGUAAUAAGCAGCAAAGUGCGCAUUUCGGUUGCUGCUGCAAAGAGAGGAACCUGGUUGUUGAAGAUCAGCGUCCCGGUUUCCGUUUUCCUGUUACAUCGUCAAGGGGGGCGACCCUUCCCCCCUGCCCCCCUACCCUCCCAUCCCCAACCGCACCUUGACACACAUACAUACACACAUAUUCCCCCAAUACCUGCCUGCCUACCUACCUGCCUACCUAGGGCAAGGACGCGGCCGUGGACGUUGCCACCGCAAACGGAAUCGCCACCACCACCACCACCACCGGUAAUGGUAAUAAUACUUGUAAUACCUGUAAUAGCAGCCUUACCGCCAGCGCUGCUGGUGCUGGAGCUGCGGCCACGGCUGUUGCUGGUGGUGGUGGUGGUGGUGGUGGUGACUCGGAGAGAGCCCGGAGCGAUAUCAGCAGCGGCAGUGGUGGUGGUGGAGGAGGUGGAGACGUUGCGGAGGGGGCGGCAGCAGCUACUGCAGCAGCAGCAGCAGCCGUGCCAGCAACAGAAGCAGCUGGUGUAGUCGUGACGGCGGGUCCGUGCGGCCCCUCAUCCCACACGGUCGGCAGCAGCGGCAGCGGCAGCGGCUUGGUGCAGCUGACUGACCUGUACCGGCAGUUCCAGGAGGCGCAACCAAAGCUGCAGGCGUUGAUGCGGUGGGUGGGGAUAUCCUGUGUUUGUGUAUGUAGGUAUGUGCGUAUGUAUGUGUUUGUACAUAUGUAUGUGUACGUGUGGUGGCCAAAAGAAGGGGAGGGAAGUUCAGGGCGGGAGAAUGGAGGAGUUUGAGUCGGUUGGGGGGGUUGGUGGUUAGCUAGGUUCAGAGGAGGAGGGGGUAGUCCGGGGGGUGCAGUGGAGGGACAGUGGGGCACGGGCGGCAGUGGGAGAGAGCCCCCCGGGGGAGUUGGAGGGCCCCCCACGACUCUUCUUCUCACCCCGUGCGACUACCCUAACCUAACUCCCAUGUAACUGCGAACGCUAUCCUUGCAGCAUGCGCCGCGUAACGGCAUCUCCCCAGCCCGGCGGCGGCGGCGGCGGUGCUGGUGCUGGUGGUAUCACGAGCAGAAGCGGCAGUAGCCCUCUCGAUGCCAACAAAACGAAUAAUAACAACAGCGCCAACAGCGCCAACGUCGAUGGCGUCGUCACCCAGCUCAACGGCCGUGACGGUCCCGCCGCCGCACCGCAUGCUGCUGCUGCUGCUGCUGCUGCUGCUGCCGGAUGCACCGUCGCGACCCGUAGUGACGACCGGCAGCACCCGCUCCACCACCACCACCACCACCAUCAUCAUCAGGGCGCUGCUGGAGCCGCGCCGAUGUCGUCGAGCCCACUGUCCCCGGCUCCCGGCUCAUCUGGUGGCAGGUUGCUGUCGUACACCGUUGGCGGCGGCGGCGGCGGCGGCGGCGGCGGCGGCCCAGCCCCCCUGGCGGUUCAUCCGGUGUUGGGGCCGCUACCGGGCUACCUGACUGCUAUCAGUACUGCGGCUGCCGCGGGGGUAUCAUCAUCGUCAUCAUCACCAUCAUCAUCAUCGCGGACGUUCUGCCAAAGUCGGGUCAGUCGAGAUGGCGCCGAGGGACCCGCGGCGGGGUCGGUGUCCCCGUCCUUUACGGACACUGCAGCAGCUGGCGGAGGCGGAGGCGCCGCCGCUGCCCCUGGCGGCGGCAGCGCAGGUGGUGGUGGUGGAGGCGGAGGCCCCGCCAGCGGAUUUUGGUUUCGGGACCGGCGCAGAAGCUCCCAGUUUUCGAUGGGUGGCGGCGAGGGCGGCAUUGCCGCCGGGGGGGUGAUGGAGACUGUCACAGACUGCAGUAGUCUCAGCUUUGAGUGCUCACCGCUGCCGUCGCCGUUGCUGCCGCCGGUGCCGUCGCGCAUUUGUUUGGAGCGCGGUGGUCGCGGUGCACCUCACGGGGGUUUCGUGAAUCCCGUGUUCAUGGAGGCGAGUCCGCUGCCGAUGCCCCGGUACGGCGACCGUGCUGGCGGCGUUUCCUCCUCCGCGCAGCCUGAUGAUGAUCAACAGGUCUCCGUAGACACGAUCGUCAUGCAGCUGCACAACUUGUUGGAUUCCUUCAACAAGUGGUCUGCGGAACUGGAAGCCGCGGGGGGCAUGUGAGGGAGGGAGGGAGGGAGGGAGGGAGGCAAGGUGUUGGAGGCGUUGGGGGGUGGAGGGUGGUGGUGGUGGGUGGUAGUCAUCGUUAGCCAUAUCAACAUCAUCGUAACCAUAAUCAACAAACAACAGCAUCAUCAACAACAGCAUCGACCGCAUGUGAAAGCUGCGUGUGUGUAGUUGGUGAGGUGAGGUGAGGUGGAGUGGGCUGCUGCUGCUAAAGAGGUUUCGAACUGCAGCUUUCUCUCCGGCGUCACGGCUGUGGUGUUGUGUUCUUGGGUGUGGUGUGAUUUGAUGAUGUGACUUGGCGGGCAAGGUCGCGAGCAAAUGAUGAUGUGGCGGGGUGGUGAUGUUUGUCUAUUGAAUGUAUGUAUGUAUGUGUGUAUGUAUGUGGCCGGUGCCGGUGCUCUGGUGGCUCCCGCCGGGUGUUUUAGAUUUCGAUGUCUGGGUCCGAAUCUGGCUACGCUACCUCGCUACUAGCUUAUUGUCCGUUCGUUCACCCUUUUGUUUUGCUGGAGGGGGACAUAACCGCCAUGUCGCCGCCGCUUAAAAAUGUCCUCUGCAUGGGGCACGUAUUCGUUGGUUGAUUUCCUUCCGAAAUGUAACGGCGUGUUGAAGCGAUACGAGUUAUUGCAGAUCGAGGGUUCGAGCCCAGGCGGGGAAUGAAGCGAAAAGGGGGGGGGGCUUUUGGAGGAUAAUGUCCCGAAUGGCGGUGACGUACUUAGGGUGGUCACUUUUCAUAGGAGGAGGGGGAGGAGGAGGCGAGGAGGGGGCCCCACGGGGAUGAUUUCCACACGUCGUGAGGUAAGGGGGAAGGGACGGCGGGGUAUACACCAACAGCUAACAGCGGUAUGUUGUGAAUGUGAUAUGACGCGAUGUUUUUACGGGAAUAAAAUGUUCUCUUGUGCGAUUGCGAUGUGUGUGUGCGUUGCCAACGAAGCAGCGAGUAACAAGUAUAGGUGAGGUGAGAUGAGAUGCGGCAGAUGGCAUAUUCCACUGACCCAUCAAUGGAUCCACGUAUUUACCUAUCUAGGUGGGUGGGUAGGUGGGUGGGAAGAGGCUCCGACGUACACUGGCCAGGGAAGCGUAUACGUUGUCUCGCGUCUAAAUAAUGUAACGGUGAUAUUUUACGGUGGUGAUCUUCCGCUAUAAAAAAUUCAUUGGGGGUUGGCGCAACACGCGCACAGUAAAACCCUGCUGCAAAGAAUGUUGAUUGUCAUGCUGCACCGGAAAGAGUGAACAAAUAUCGUUAUCGUUUCCAUGUCUGUCUGUCUGUCCACCACGGUGGUGGUGCCGUGUGUGUCGAUCCGUUCCAUUUUCCCGCCAUUCCUUCCCCCUUGCCGUGGGGUGGGGAGGGGGGAAAAGAGCCCCCCCCCUGUCCUUAGUCGGUUUGUUGACGGCUGGGGCGAAAGUACACCUAUCGAACGUUUGGACCUCAACCUUUUUCCGCACUGCGUAUUAACAAGUGGCGUCUGUGUGUGCGUGUGCGUGUUUGCAUGUGUGUGUGCCUGUGUGUGCCUGUAUGUCUGUGUGUGAAAGUUACAAGUAUCUGGCCGGGCCUGGCACUGGCCACAGGGACUGCUGCCCGGCCCCAACGGAAAGACCGCCUAAGCUCUCUCCCGCGGACGGGAGAGGGACGCGAGGGGCCGCUGCUUCCCCCCCCCCUAAGCAGCCGAGAGCCGCAAGUCCGCUAGUGUGCGCGUAUGUGUGUUCCUCAUGACGCUGCUGCGCGCGGCAGUGCGUGGUGGUGCAGCUGCACCUAGGCGCUGGAAUCAAAAUGACCGGACAGAGGAGGGUCACCGUUUCGUUUGGUCGGUUUGAGAAUUUGUUGCUAGUUUCUCAGGUUAGUCAGUCCUUGUCCCACACCUGACUGAUUGCAGCUGAAGAUAUACACUUAGGUCGGGUAGAUUAGGUCCCCGUCGUUUCCUCUUUCUCUCUCUCUCUGUGUGUAUGUGAGGUGUUUGUUUUGUGUGGAUAACAGUCCACGCUGGGUUUUGCAAUUUCGGACUAUGUGCCGCGGCUGUGUGCGGGUGCAAGUGCACCCGUUUGGCUCGGUGCGCUGUGCUGGCCCCAUCAUCCCCUUACAUGUGACAUGACUCUAUAUGAUUCGACUGUCGUUUGUUACCACAACCGCACCUCCUCCGAAGUAAUCUCACCUUGGUGAGCGUCGCUGCUGUGUGUGUGGGCGGGCAUAUUGCAGCUUGUCUUGGGCCCAGGAUAGCAUGCCGGAGGUGUGAAACAGUACUUAGUGGUGGCUGAGAGUCACACGCCGGAGACGUUUUUUGUGUUUUUUACCGGCAUUAAAGAUGCACAUGGCUGGGUGGAUGAACGGACGGAUGGAUGUGAAUAUGCAGCGUGGCGGCAGUUGUUGCUUUUUUUAUGUAUGGCAAGAUCGGAAGUUUACUUUUAAUUAUGGCCUUCUUCACGGGAGGCUUCCUUUCGAGGCCUUCCGUAAUAACCCUGUUUGGUUGUUCAUCUCUCUCUUCCCUUCUUAUUGCUACCCUAUUUUUGGUUAGUUGGAAUAUGUCUGUGUUGGUGUGCUUGUGGACAGCGCGGUCCUGAUACCCCGGUCCACCACAAGUGAAAUGAUGUGCAUGAUUCAUGUUGCAAGGGUGGUGAGCGUACCCCGGGGGCAUGGAGGGGUUUGGUAGCCAUUUGCCGCGGUAGGGAACAGGAGGACGUAGGUGCAGGGUUGGUAAAACAGGCGCCCGGUUUUGUCGGUUUAGUUACUGUAACAUGUCUGUCGACAGGAAGCCGGCUGGUGGGGGAACUAAACAAAGGCAUGUUAGACAGUAGCUGCUACAGGGGCAGAAUGUGGGUCCUCAAGGAAGCCUUUCCGUCUCCCGGGCUUGUAGUCCUGGCAAGGAGAUGCAAAACGAUCAAUGCAAAAGCGGGGAAGUCUAUUAAGGGCGCUCGACGCCCACCACACGAUGGCACAUGCUCAUAAACCUCCACAGUUCAUCUUGGAAUCUUUGCAGAUGUUCGAAAGUAAGCGUGGGUGAUUCAAGAGUGCUUGCUAUUCGAUCAGCUGGAAGGGGCUGGCGCACCGCGCGCGGAUUUAAAAUGCGAUGCGUCCCGAUGUGAUCCCCUUGUUUUCAUAUGCUAAGUAUCAUACGUUGAAUUCAGUGAAAAGAUUAUGAAAUGAUGCAAACGGGGUGAGCUUGUAAACAAAUUCGGCUGCUGUCGCCGCGAUGGCUGAAGCAACGCGAAUGGGUUUCCUUCCUAUGCAUUGAGAGUUUGAACGUACACCAAAUAAAUAGGACGGAAAAGACGUGGAGGAAGGAGGGAUGAGGGCAAAGAUGUUUGCAAAACGGUGGGCACGACAGGAAUUCAGGUAGACGUACGGGCAAAUGCCUGUGGAGCAAGAAGAAUCUCAGGAACAACAGGAGCGAAUUGUUCCUAAGUUGCAUGAGACUUGCGGGCGACGAAACAGGAGUACAUUGAAGAAGGACCACUCUGGCAUGAUAGACCGCCACGGGUUAAAUUGUACCGCUACAGUUGGCCACAAGUAUGGCAAUAAACCACCCAAUGAAGUUUUCCAGCAGGGGCACCGAUGGUCGUACCAGUACGUCACAACUGUCGUUUGGGUCAUAUCGCGCAUGUGGCCUCUAUUUCGCUUGUGCCGACUGUCUUUGUUUCUUCAUCCUAGUACGUAUGCGGAACAAAGCAUAGGUGUGAUUACUACUGGCUUUAUAAUCCUAAAUUGCAUAGCUGUGAACCUGAACAGUUAUUGCGUGCGCAUUUCAAGUUCUACCUUCUGUCAUAUUAUUCUAUAGGCUUCUAAGGCCUUGCCUAACGUAACACCCCGUUCUGUCAGCUGUUUGGCCCGAUCGUGCGCAACUGCCUCGCCCCAAGCCGCAUACAACAUGUCUGCUCCACUUGCCGACCAACUGGACAUUGUAAUUCCGACUAUCAGGUCAGGAGGGUCAGAUUUGGUUUUCCACAGCCGAUCGGACCGACAUUCGGUUCCCCCAGGAUGCCAACUAAACACCAUAAGUUUGCUGUUGCUGGGAUUUAUGUAGGAAUCUGGAUUUCCUGGAGGAAUGGCGUCCUUUCUUCCAGCCUUACCAUCUGAUCAUCGUCCAAGAUGGCGACCCUACGAAGAAGAUUCAUGUGCCUGAAGGAUUUGACUACGAGCUCUACAACCGUAACGAUAUCGAGCGCAUUCUUGGUGAUAAGGCGUGGGCCAUUUCGUUCAAGGACUCGGCAUGCCGUUGCUUCGGUUUCAUGGUGUCGAAGAAAAAGUACAUCUACACGAUUGACGACGACUGCUUUGUCGCCAAGGAUCCUUCCGGGAAGCCGAUCAACGUGUUGGAGCAGCACAUCAAGAACCUGUUGACUCCGUCGACGCCCUUCUUCUUCAACACCCUGUAUGACCCGUACCGCGAAGGUGCCGACUUCGUGCGCGGUUAUCCUUUCAGCCUUCGUGAGGGCAUUCCCACUGCCACCUCCCAUGGCCUCUGGAUGAACAUCCCCGACUACGAUGCGCCCACACAGGCAAGGAUGGACGAGUGGGAUUGCUUGCAAACGUGCUGGGGGCCCCAUGCAUUCCCACAUUCUAUACCUGCACGCCAGCAUGUACGCAAGCGUUGUGUCGUAGGUCCCCGACUGCAUAAAGUGCUAAAGCAAGAGUAGCUAUGCCGUGGAAUGUUGUUCUUAUUCAUGCUACGGCGGUCUGCUGAGUCUCUUGGGCCGUUUGCCGUGAUUGGCCUCCUUGCAGAUGGUGAAGCCUCGGGAGCGCAACCAGCGCUACGUUGACGCCGUCAUGACGGUGCCCAAGGGCACCCUCUAUCCCAUGUGCGGCAUGAAUUUGGCCUUCGACAGGUAUGUCUAUCUCUCUGGUUUGGCGUUCCAAGGAAAGGGCGUGCUAAUGUAAGCAUUGCGAGCAAUGUGCUGAACCAAACCAGCGCCAGCGGUGGUCGGGAUUGCACUGCGCCAGGGGCGGGUCGUUUGUGGCUCGCAAGGUCGAUUCUGUUUUGCAGGCGGUCCGUCCAAGGUCUGCGCAAAAGAGCCCUAAAGGGGCUUAACACUGCAGGGGAUCAUUUCCUUUCAUUGCGCAUUUGGGCUGCAUCUGCAACGCAGAAGAGUGUUCGGUUUGCGCAGUCCUGUCAUUUGCCAAGUAUUACCAUUUAGGUCAUUUGGGUCAAACGGUGAUGACCGUGUACGGGAUGUCGCCCCGGGGAUAUUUGCGUCUGCUAUCUUCGACGCAGUGCCUUGCCUCUUCACAACCUACCAUGUGAUAUGUCCUUACCUGUUCGUUCAUUUUCCACGCCUGAAACUUCUCCGAUGCUGAUGCAAUAAAGCCAUUAAGUCCAUUUAUCGUCGUUUCGUUCCAGGGAUCUGAUUGGAGCGGCCAUGUACUUCGGGCUUAUGGGUGAGGGCCAGCCCAUUGGCCGCUACGAUGACAUGUGGGCGGGCUGGUGCACCAAGGUCAUUUGCGACCAUCUGGGAGUGGGCUGCAAGACGGGCCUGCCGUACGUGUGGCACAGCAAGGCCAGCAACCCCUUCGUGAACCUGCGCAAGGAGUACAAGGGCAUCUUCUGGCAGGAGGUGAGAGACGGAUGAACGAUCAGUUCGUCAUGCGGAAUGUGUGAAGUAAAUAAGGCAUGUGUGAAUCAUGUUGACCACUUUAAGGGUGGUCGUGUUGCUCUUGUUGAGAGUACUCGGAAAGCAGCCCCCAACCUGCUCCAAGCAGGCUAUUCAGAACGCAUUUUCGGCAAGUGGUUGCCUCUCGAAGGGAAUCCUCUUGGAUGCAGUCCUCUCUACAACAUUUUUGGCCGGUGUUUUUCGCGUUGAGCACAACUGUUUUACGUGGCCGUCUGAAAAUGCGGGCUGCUGCCAUCAACACUGGAUUCUUGUUACCACCUAAAUGUCUGCAGGAAAUCAUCCCCUUCUUCCAGAACCUCACCCUUAGCAAGACAUCAACCAACGUGGAGCAGUGCUACCUGGAGCUGGCUGAAUUGGUGCGCAAGGGUCUGGGCCACAUCGACCCUUACUUCUCCAAGCUUGCGGAUGGCAUGGUGGCCUGGAUCGAGGGUUGGCGCCUGUUGAACCCGCCGGCCGCCAGCGCUUAAAGCGCUUUGGUUCCUGCUUAUCUAGGUCUUUCCGAGCUCGAGUCUAGGUGGCCGUGAGCCAGCUGCUGCAUGUUGCGCUCCGCUUCGCCGGCUGGGGUGCAGUGGCCAUUGACAGAGCCCUCGCGCUUGUGGGUGACGAGUCCCGGGACGCAUUACAAAAGGAGGAGCAGCACUCCAUGCGGGCUUUUGCGGCCACUGGACGCAUGACGGGUUGAUCUGGCUCUAGUUCUGGCGGUGUACCUGUUGUGUGUUGCUGCUGAGUAGCCCCGUUCAGCUUCGUGGCGCGUACCAGGCCGCGAACGUUACUCCAUUUAGGGCGAAUAGGCGGGAUGAUGAAAGUGGGAUGCGCAGUGCGGGCCAGAAUUAGCGAAACGACAAUAAGCUUGGCCGAAGGUUUUGUCAUGGCCACAGUGAUACGGUACGCUGCGGUGCAAACUGCGAAGGUUGGCGGAAAACACUGCACAUAAGUGCCUCGGAAUGGUUUCGGUGGUUGUCUGCCGGCGGCUAAACCUGCGUCGCACGUGGAAGGCAGUUCGGCCGUGAUGUGACUUUCGCGGUGACGACCUGAAGUGCCGCGAUGUACGAAUUGCGUGAUCCUGAAUGUGACCUGCUGAGUUGUGUAUUACUGUUCCUUACUUGACAUGCCAGAACGUUCCUCGUCUUUUAACUUGAGCAGGGGAGCACGACUGACCGUAUGAUCAUUUGAAAUUGCGCAACCCACUGACUGCAAUUUCCCCAAUGACCGAAUCUGUCGAAUAGCGUGCUUGCAUUAGAGGAGCUUGCUGUAUGCGCGCAAGCAAUGAGGAGUUGCUGGGUUCAUCGCCGCUGCGUACAAUUCCUUUAGCCGUUGCUUUGUUUUUGGUGCAUGGCCUUCCCAGCCGCAGGCUUCUGCACAGGCGGCUUUCUGCGUAUGGCAGGAUUUGUCAUGAAUUUUGAAUCUCCGAACUCUUGUAUAGGUCAUGACGCGAUCGGUUGCAGGAGUUUGGGAAGAGUGGUACGGUAUUGUAGCUUGACAAGUUUUGCGAGCGCCUUGUCUUUGUCCUGCUUCCGUGGUGUUGUUGGUGGGUGCAACCGUGUGCAACCUGUGCAACAAGCAAGCAUGUACGUCGCACGGAUGUGGAUGGCGUUGUGACCCUACUGUGCGUGUGUGGCUUCGGCGGGAGAGGCUAUCCUGUAGAGCAUGAAAGGGCUCCAACCUUAUCGGAAUGUUAGGGGUGAAAUUUGAGCUGACGCGGUUAUACGUCUUUGUAACACUACGGGCACGAAGCGUUUACCCUAGGUCACCAAAGGUCGCGUUAGGGACCACUACCAAGUUGCGAGCGCCUCCGGUAGGAUUGAAAAACGUUCACUUGGUUGCAAUCUAUGAGCAGCACAUCAGAAACAGCAGGUUUUGCUUUGUCUGUACCGCUCCGAUCUGGAAUCAGAAUUGUACCUGGGUGUCCGGGUCCUGUGUUCGGUUAGGGUGUUCGUACCAUGACGACUAACGACUGCCCAACAAAACACAUGUUUGCAUCGAUGGGAAAUGGGAUAAGGGCCAUGUGCCAUCCAGGUGCCAUCUAACGGCCCAACCUGCCUCCAUGCAACGUUGAUCAAGCCACCAAUCAAGCAAUUUGGUAUCUUUAGAAGGAUUACAACAACUCCUUGCAUUCUUUUUUUCGUUACCUUUCGUCGCUUUCAAUGAUGCUAAUUCCAAGGCUAACAUUUUAAAUGUUUGGAUGUUAGGCAUCCUCCCGUCUCAAAUGAAAUUUCCGGACAAGCCGCACUACCGCAUAUCUGCCUUCUAUCCUGAUGUUACUUCCGAUGCAGCGACGACAUUCGCGAUAUCUUAAGCCCGCGUCAGGUGCUGCGAGGCGAGCCUGCCUCACUAGGGAUGUGGCUGCCUGGCUGCGGCAUCCCCAACCUGCUGCUGCUGCUACCAGUCAGUCUACCACUAUAGGCGGCGGCGCGCGGUGCAUCGGCCGCGGCAGCAGCAGUACCGGCUGCAGCGGCGCCGGAAGUUACAUACCCAGCAGCCUACAUGGCAGGACGCCGCUUGUGGAGCGGCAGCUGGACGGCGGUAUCAGCACGGCCCUGGGGCGGCCUGUUUUGUCCGCUGCGAGCUGCUAUUCCGCCUCCACCCCCCACGCACUCCGGCUCUCCUCCUCCGCCUGCGCCUCCUCCUCGUCCUCCGCCUCCAUGACGGACAGCUCCCCGCUGGCCAGAAGACACGCAGGGGAGACUUGGCGAGCAGCAGAACCACGUGACUUGAAUUUGGAUUUUGAGUUGCACAAUUAUCAUUCUGUUGGCGAGUUGAUAGUUGAAGAGCUGCCGCUGCGCUGGCUGCCGCUGUGUUCAGGCCGGGAUGAUGGGGACGACGCGGAUGGCGAAGAUGCGAAGCAUUGUGUGGCGUACCGCCACUACCUUCCCACCCUGGAGCCCCGGGAUGGGCCCUGCAUCCGCAACAAGCUGCUGCAGCCUCCUCCGUCACCCCCCGUCACCCCCAACGUGUCGGCCCCGCCUCCCGUAACUCUGGAAUCAACAAAAGCAGCAGCAAUAGCAGCAACUGCAGUAGCAGCAGCAGGGGCCGCAACAGAAAAUGCAUCACUUUUUUUGCGUGAAGACGCGGACACUGCUUUACCGGAACUUUGCGUGUUUUUUUGCAACGGCCUCAAGAGCCACAUGACAGGGUGAGGUCUCCCCCCUCCUCCGCCGCCUCCUCCUCCAUCCCAUGUUUCCUACGUUUCCUGUACUUCUUCAUCGUCCGAUCCAUCCUCCUUGCAUAGUUGAAGCGCGUUAUCGUGUGUAUACAUCCAUCGGCCCUUGCUCUUCCUCUUUUCCCUGCCGCGCGUCAUCGUUGUCGUGGUCGUCUCGCUCUUCCCCGCUAAGUCACUUGUUGGGUGUGGUGCCGUCCCGUCCCGGCCCGGGGCCCGGGGGGGCCUCUGUCUGCCGCUCUGAUGAUUUUCUCAGCGCCAAGGUUCGGCGUGCGUUCAACAUCGCAGCGGCCUAUGGUUGCGAGUUCGUGUGCUUCGAUUAUUCGGGAUUCGGUGCGUCUCGUGGUCGCCAGUUCGAGUCCUGUGGGCUGCAGAACUGGAUCUAUGACGCGGAAGCGCUCCUGACACGCGUGGUUCGCGCUCGGCGGGUUAUCCUUGUAGGUAAGGUAAAGGCGCGAUGUCACGUCCGUCCCUCCGCCUCUCUGUUGUGGAAAAGGCAAUGAGAGUCGAGAAAUAAAGUCUUCCUCAGGCUGGCACUGCCCGGCCACUGUAUAUAAAACCGUGCUCUGAUCGUGAAUAGAAUAUGAUAUCUGUAAUGUUACAGAGUGGGAGGCUUCUGGGCCGCUUUAUCACAUUGUCAGUUCUACGAUCAUUAUCACCUUAUAGCACCAUCCACCACUACCACACUGUACUUCGCCAUACGAACUGUAAGUCCAAGGCGGCGGAUCCAGCCUUCAGGGACCCCUCCUCAUCCAUUCACCCGAACACCCGAAGAGACGGAGGGUUCGGCAAUCACCACCAAUCCAGCAUGCGAAUCUGGUCCAUCAACUGUGACCUCAACUCCACAUCUCAGCAGCUUGCCAUAAUCUCAGGACCUUAAACCGCUAAUUGCAGUAGUGCCAACCCAGACCAAACGAUAUCUAACCUUCAGGUCGUUC